rnacentral:lncRNA from 1 species
GAAGGGCUCCCUUUGAGAACUCAACUCCACUGUGCACAAGCCCCACAGUGGGCACCAACUCUCGUGGUUUUGUCACGGCAGAUGUCCUCGUGAAAGGACUUAGCGAUGGAACCAUCGCACGUUGGUGGUGACUCAAAGGGGGUGAGUGGAAACGAGACUCAGGUUUACCCAGGUACGGCCCCUCCUAUGGAGGUAAAAGCCUACGUCAUGCUUUGUGUAUAUUGAUGGUGGAUUCGAUUACAAGGAGGGCGUAACUCGCGUGACAUAGCUCUCGAUGGAUUCUAACUUAACCUAUCUACCCUAGAGACUCGCCUUUAUAUACAGGUCGAGGCCCUAGGGUUUACAAAGUCCUAACCACAUUACAAAUCAUGGCCUUCCAUAUAUCUAAGCCGCCGUGUCCUCCAAGUUAGGAAACCUCCUGGGCGACUUAUCUUCUCUAUUAACCUUGAACCGCCAUCUGGCUCAUGUGCCGUGGCCGGCUCUUCGUUGAAGUUCUCUUGACGCAUCUCAUACCUAGGGCCAAGGCCUAUUUUGACCAUAAAUGUUGAAUCGCCGUUUACCUAACCGUCCGAAUAGGGCGGGUCAUACUGCACGUAAUAUCCCCACUAGGGGGCUUUUGUUGCAAAUCAGAUUUUGCGUGUCCUAACAUUUUGAGUGCAGAAGAUUUCCUAACUCAAAGACAUUUCCACUAACUAGAUUUUACCUGAGUCCUAAUAAUUUCGAGUGUGGAAGAUUUCCAAACCCGGGGGCUUAGCUGCGACCUAGUAAUCGCCUAAGUUAAAAAUGUUGGGGAACGUCGCAUGGAAACAAAAAAAUUCCUACGCUCACCAAGAUCAAUCUAUGGAGAUGAAAGACUACGAGAGGGAGAGUCCGUCAACAUACCCUAGUAGAUCACUAUGCGGAAGCGUUCAGAAACUUGGUUGAUUUAGUCGACGCCUUCACGAUCCAAUCAUGAUUCAUACCAUGAUCCAAUCAUGAACGUCCCGAUCAUGUGUCGAAUGUACGACAGAUCCACGUUCAGCACACGUACGGCUCGAUGACGCCUUCACCACCUCGAUCCAGUGAGUGUGGGUGAAGUAGCAGUUGAGUUCUCCGGCAACAUGAUGGCAUGGUGGCGGUGGUGGUGGUGCUAUUCCGCCAGGGCUACAUCGAGCCCCACUUAAACCGCAAACAGAGGACAAAACAAUCUAGGGAGAGAGAGGGGCGCCAAGGGUUUGGUAUGUCCUCUUGGGGUGCCCCCUCCCCUCUACAUAUAUGUGGAGGGGCAUGGGGAAUAGCCCCUCCAAGCCUUAGGGCGCAACCAAGGUGGGAGGAGGUGGAAUCCUAGUCCUCCUCCUUCCCUUCCAUACAAAGGUGGACUUUCCACCUUUCCCAACUACUUGGGCCUUGAGGGAGUUGUGCGCCUGGACCAAUAAGACCAGGGUGCCUCCCCUCAGCCCAUGCAAACCCUUGGGACAUGGUGGAACCCUUGGUGGACUUAUGGACUAUUGGGGAACAUUGCAUCGGAAACAAAAAAAUUCCUACACUCACCAAGAUCAAUCCAGGACAUGAACAACUAUGAGAGGAAAGAUUGCAUCUACAUACACUUGUAGAUCACUAAGCGGAAGCGUUAAGGAAUGUCGUUGAUGUAGUUGAACGUCUCCGUGAUCACAUCACGAUCCAUCCCGCGAACUCCCGAUCAAGCAUCAAACGGACGACACCUCCGCGAUCAAGAUCUUUAUCCAGUCAACCAUGGUGAAGUCGCAACCCGAGUCCUCCGGUAGCACGAUGGCGUGGUGAGCUGGUGGAGCCAACACGUCGGCAGGGCUUUGUAGUAUGAUGGAGAGGAGAGGAGAAGAAGUAUGAUGGAGAGGAGAAGAAGUAUGAUGGAGAGGAGGAGCACCGUCGUAGCACGUUGUAGUGCAGCUACCCUCUCUCUACGUGUCUAUAUAUAGGGGGAGGGAGGAGGGUAGGGCACCCUAGGGUUUCCCCUAGGGGUCGGCCGCCAAGGGGUUCAGCUAGUGCUUGGGGUGGCCCCUCCCCAAGGCGCCUUACCUCCCAAGUUGGGGUGGCCGGCGGCCCUAGGGGGCGUGGCCACCUCCUAACCAUGGUGGGCUGAGGUUUGGGCGGCGCCUAGCCCCCUUGUGGGCUGGUGGCCCCCCUCUCCUUGGCCCAUGAGGCCACCCAACACUUGUCGGGGCCCCCCGAAAGCCCGUUCGUUAUUCCGUCGAUUACCCGGCAUGCCCUGGAACAAUUCCGGACUCUGAGUCCCUUCAUCGUAUAUAUGAAUCUUCACCUAUGAACAAUUCCGGAGUUCCUCAUCAUCUCCGGGAUCUCAUCAGGGACUUCGAACAACCUUCGGUCACCAACAUAAUAACUCGACAUCGUCACCAAACAUUAAGUGUGUAGACCCUACGGGUUCGAGAACUAUGUAGACAUGAUCGAGACACCGCCAUGGCUAAUAACCAAUAGGGGGACCUGGAUGUCCAUAUUGGUUCCUACAUAUUCUACGAAGAUCUUUACCGGUUGAACCUUGAUGCCAAGCAUUCCGUCAAUCUCGUACGUAGUUCCCUUUCUUCAUCGGUAUGUUACUUGACUGAUAUUCAAUUGUCAGUAUCUCCAUACCUAGUUCAAUCUCGUUACUAGCAGGCCUCUUUACUCGUUCCGUAAUACAAGAUCACGUUACUAACUCUUUAGCCACAAUGCUUGCAAGCUCAUUAUGAUGUUGUAUUACCGAUUGGACCCUGAGAUACCUAUAUGUCACACGGAGUAACAAAUCCCAGUCUUGAUCCAUGCCAACUCAACAGACACCCUCGGAGAUACAUGUAGAGCAUCUUUAUAGCGACCUAGUUACAUUGCGACCUUUGAUACAGACAAGGUACUCCCCCGAUGUCAGUGAGUUGCAUGAUCUCAUGGUCAUAGGAACAGAUACUUGACAUGCAGAAAACAAUAACAAUAAACUGACAUGAUCAUAUGCUACGCUCAUAGUUUGGGUAUUGUCCAUCACAUCAUUGUCCUAAUGAUGUGAUCCCCUUAUCAAAUGACAACUCAUGUCUGUGGCCAGGAAACCUUGACCAUCUUUGAUAAACGAGCUAGUCCAUUAGAGGCUCACUAGGGACACCGUAUUGUCUAUAUACCCACACAUAUAUUUUAGUUUGCAAUCAAUAUAGUUCUAGCAUGGAUAAUAAACGAUUAUCAUGAACAAGGAAAUAUAAUAAUAACCACUUUAUUAUUGCCUCUAGGGCAUAUUUCCAAUAGUUGCCCACUUUCACUAGAGUCAAUAAUCUAGCUCACAUCACUAUAUGUUUUACAUUAUAAUGUAUCUAACACCCAUACAGUUUUGGUGUUGAUCAUGUUUUGCUCGUGGAAGAGGCUUAGUCAACGGGUCUGUGACAUUCAUAUCCGUGUGCACUUUGCAAAUAUUUAUGCCGUCCUCCUUGAUGUCAUCGUGGAUGGAAUUAAAGCGUCACUUUAUGUGUAUAGUCCUCUUGUGAAACCUUGUUUCCUUGGCCAGAGCAAUGGCAAUAGUGUUGUCAUGCAACAGAGUCAUUGGGUCCAGUGCACUGGGCACAAUUCCAAGAUCCGUCAUGAACUGCUUCAUCCAGACAUCUUCCUUAGACGCCUCCGAGGCAACUAUGUACUCCGCUUCGCAUGUAGAAACAUCUAACAUGCUUUGCUUGGAACUGCACCACCUUACAGCUCCGCAAUUGAUAAUAUAUAUGUAUCCACUUUGAGACUUAGUGUCAUUCGGAUCGUUGUGAGAGAUUGUAUCGAUGUAACCCUUUACGACGAACUCUUGAUCACCACCAUAAAUGACAAACAUUUCCUUAGUCCAUUUCAUGUAGUUAAGGAUAUUCUUGACCACCAUCCAGUGUUCCAUUCCUGGAUCACUUUUAAACCUUCCUGACAUACUAAUGGCAAGGCUAACAUCUAGUCUUGUGCACAACAUUGCAUAUAUGAUAGAGCCUAUGGCAGAAGCAUAGGGGACGACACUCAUCUUUUCUCAAUCUUAUGCAGUCACUGUGCAUUGAGUCUUACUCAACUUCACACCUUGCAAUAUAGGCAAUAACCCUUUCUUGGAGUGGUCCAUUUUGAACUUCUUCAAAACUUUGCAAAGGUAUAUGCUCUGUGGAAGUCCUAUUAAGCUUCUCAGCCUAUCUCUAUAGAUCUUGAUGCAUAAUAAAGCAGCUCCUUCUAGGUCCUUCAUUGAAAAAAUCUUGUUCAAAUAUUCCUUUAUGCUUUCCAAAAAUUAUAUAUUGUUUCCAGUCAGCAAUAUGACAUCCACAUAUAAUAUUAGAAACGCUAUGGAGCUCCCACUCACUUUCUUGUAAAUAUAAGCUUCUCCAUAAACUUAUAUAAACCCAAACGCUUUGAUCACCUCAUAAAAGUGUUGAUUCCAACUCUGAGAUGUUUGCACCAGCCAAUAAAUGGAUCGAUGGAGCUUGCAUACUUUGUCAGCAUUCUUUGGAUUGACAAAACCUUCUCUUGCAACAUAUACAACUCUUCCUUACGGAAACUGUUAAGGAACCUUGUUUUGACAUCCAUCUGCGAAAUUACAUAAUAAAAAAUGCAGCUACUAACAUGAUUCAGACGGACUUAAGAAUCACUACGGGUGAGAAAGUCUCAUCAUAGUCAACUCCUUAAACUUGUGAAAAACCUUUCGCCACAAGUCGAGCUUUAUAAAUGGUGACAUUACGGUCCGCGUCCGUCUUCUUCUUAAAGAUCCACUUAGUCCGAAUGGCCUUUCGCUCUUCACGUAAUACUUCCAAACUCCACGCUUUGUUUUCAUACAUUGAUCCUAUCUCAGAUUUCAUGGCCUCUAACCAUUUGUUGGAAUCUGGACCCACCAUUGCUUCUCCAUAGCUCGUAGGUUCAUCGGUGUCCAACAACAUGACCUCUAGGACAGGGUUACUGUACCACUCAGGAGCAGUGUGUGUCCUUGUCGACUUACGAGGUUCAAUAGUAACUUGAUGUGAAGCUCCAUGAUCAACAUCAUUAGCUUCCUCUUCAACUAAUGUAGCCUCCACACAAACAUCUUUCUGUGUUGCACCACUCUCUGGUUCAAGUAAAGGUUCAAUAACCUCAUAAAGUUCUAUUUUCCUCCCACUCAAUUCUUUCGAGAGAAACUCUUUCUCGAGAAAUAAUCUGUUUUUAGCAACAAACACUUUGCCUUCGGAUCUGAGAUAGAAGGUAUACCCAACCGUCUCUUUUGGGUAUCCUAUGAUGACGCAUUUCUUCGCUCAGGGUUUGAGCUUUUUUGGCUGAAGCUUUUUGACAUAAGCAUCGCAUCCCCAAACUUUAAGAAACAUCAACUUUGGUUUCUUGCCAAACCAUAGUUCAUACGGAGUCGUCUCAACGGAUUUACAUGGUGCCCUAUUUAAAGUGAAUGCAGUUGUCUCUAACACAUAAACCCAAAUCGAUAGUGGGAAAUCGGCAAGAGACAUCAAAGAAUGCAACAUAUCUAAUAAAGUUUGAUUACGAUGUUCGGACACACCAUUACAUUGUUGUGUUCGAGGUGGCGUCAACUGUGAAACAAUUCCACAUUGUCUUAGGUGAUUGCCAAACUGAUAACUCAGAUAUUCUCCUCCUCGAUCAGAUCGUCGGAAUUUAAUCUUCUUGUUACGAUGAUUCUCAAAUUCCCUCUGAAAUUGCUUGAACCUUUCAAAUGUUUCAGACUUGUGUUUCAUUAAUCAAAUAUACCAAUAUCUACUUAAGUCAUCGAUGAAGGUGAGAAAGUAACGAUAUCCACCACGCGCUUCAAUGCUCAUCGCACCGCACACAUCAGUAUGUAUUAUUUCCAAUAAGUGACUUGCGUGUUCCAUUGUUCUGGAGAACAGGGUCUUAGUCAUCUUGCCCAUGAGGCAUGGUUCAGAUGUGUCGACUGAUUCAAAAUCAAGUGACUCCAAAAGUCCAUCAGCAUGGAGUUUCUUCAUGCAUUUUACACCAAUAUGACCUAAGUGCCAGUGCCACAAGAAAGUGAUACUAUCAUUAUCAACUCUUUAUCUUUUGGCAUCAAUUUUAUGAACAUGUGUAUCGCCACUAUCGAGAUUCAAUAAGAAUAAACCCCUCACAAUGGGUGCAUGACCAUAAAAGAUAUUUCCCAUAUAAAUAGAACAACUGGUAUUCUCUGAUUUAAAUGAGUAACCGUCUUGCAUCAAACAAGAUCCAGAUAUAAUGUUCAUGCUCAACUCAGGCACUAAAUAACAAUUAUUCAGGUUCAUUACUAGUCCCGAUGGUAACCGACGACAAUCACAUCAACCUUGGAACUGUUUCCCACACGCAUCAUCACUUCGUCCUUCACCAGCCUCCGCCUAUUCAGUAGUUCCUGCCUUGAGUUGCAAAUGUGAGCAACCGGACCGGUAUCAAAUACCCAUGCACUACAACGAGAGUUGGUAAGGUACACAUCAAUAACAUGUAUAUCAUAUAUACCUUGUUUCGUGUUGGCUGCCUUCUUGUCGGCCAGAUAUUUGGGGCAGUUCCGCUUCUAGUGGCUAGUUCCCUUGUAAUGAAAGCACCCAGUUUCUGGCUUGGGUCCAGCCUUGGGUUUCUUCACGAUAGGAGCAACUGCUUUGCCAAUCUUCUUCAAGUUACCCUUCUUGCCCUUGGCAUUCUUCGUGAAACUAGUGGUUUUAUUGACCAUCAACACUUGAUGCUCCUUCUGUAUUUCUGACUCAGCGACUUUCAACAUCGCAAAUAGCUCGGGGACUCGUUUGUUCAUCCCUUGCAUGUUAUAGGUCAUCACAAAGAUUUUGUAGCUAGGAGGCAGUAAUUUAAGAACUCUCUAAGUGAUUGCAUCUGGCGGGAGAGUAAUUCCGAACUCAGCCACACGGUUGGAAUACCCAGACAUUUUGAGUAUGUGCUCACUGACAGGCCCGCUCUCCUCCAUCUUGCAAGCAUAGAACUUAUCAGAGGUCUCAUACCUCUCGAUACGGGAAUUCUUUUUAAAAAUAAACUUCAACUCCUGGAACUUCUCAUAUGCUCCAUGAUGUUCAAAAUGUAUUUGAAGUCCCGGUUCUAAGACAUACAACACACCACAUCGAACUAUUGAGUACACUACUGGAAAAUAGUUUUUUGCCAUUUGCCUAGUCUUUGCCGUUUGCUAGCUGAUGGCAAAGAGUAUCUUUGCCAUCAGCUUCAACAAAGCAGACGGCAAAGCAUUGUCUGAUGGCAUAGAGUGUUUUUGCCAUCAGGGACAUCUUUGCCGUCAGCUAGCAGACGGCAAAGAGUCUCACAGCGAACGGCAAAGAUGUGGAUGGGCCCACCUGACCGCGGGGUGGUUAGGUCAAACAGGAGUCCCUUUGCCGUCUACUAGCGGACGGAAAAGAGUCCGGAGGCAGACGGCAAAGAGUCUAGACUCUUUGUCGUCCGCCGGCAGACGACAAAGAGCUAACUUCGUUAACGGCUCCUUCCCCCCCCCCNNNNNNNNNNNNNNNNNNNNNNNNNNNNNNNNNNNNNNNNNNNNNNNNNNNNNNNNNNNNNNNNNNNNNNNNNNNNNNNNNNNNNNNNNNNNNNNNNNNNNNNNNNNNNNNNNNNNNNNNNNNNNNNNNNNNNNNNNNNNNNNNNNNNNNNNNNNNNNNNNNNNNNNNNNNNNNNNNNNNNNNNNNNNNNNNNNNNNNNNNNNNNNNNNNNNNNNNNNNNNNNNNNNNNNNNNNNNNNNNNNNNNNNNNNNNNNNNNNNNNNNNNNNNNNNNNNNNNNNNNNNNNNNNNNNNNNNNNNNNNNNNNNNNNNNNNNNNNNNNNNNNNNNNNNNNNNNNNNNNNNNNNNNNNNNNNNNNNNNNNNNNNNNNNNNNNNNNNNNNNNNNNNNNNNNNNNNNNNNNNNNNNNNNNNNNNNNNNNNNNNNNNNNNNNNNNNNNNNNNNNNNNNNNNNNNNNNNNNNNNNNNNNNNNNNNNNNNNNNNNNNNNNNNNNNNNNNNNNNNNNNNNNNNNNNNNNNNNNNNNNNNNNNNNNNNNNNNNNNNNNNNNNNNNNNNNNNNNNNNNNNNNNNNNNNNNNAGAAAAAGAGAAGAAGAAGAGAAGAAGAGAAUAAGAAGGAGAAGAAGAGAAAAAAGAAGAAGAAGUUGAUUUUUUAUUAUUUGGUAUUUAGUGGUAGCUAGACUCUGUUUUUGUUAUUUUUGUUGUUGUUUAGUGCUAUCUAGGUUUAGCGAUAGGUUUAGUUAGCUUGGUUAGUUAGGUUAGUUAGUUAGUUAGCUUAAUAGAAAGAAUAGGAAGGAGAAGAAGAGGGGGAGGAGGAGAAGAGGAGAANNNNNNNNNNNNNNNNNNNNNNNNNNNNNNNNNNNNNNNNNNNNNNNNNNNNNNNNNNNNNNNNNNNNNNNNNNNNNNNNNNNNNNNNNNNNNNNNNNNNNNNNNNNNNNNNNNNNNNNNNNNNNNNNNNNNNNNNNNNNNNNNNNNNNNNNNNNNNNNUCAUCCUCCUUCUCCUUCUUCUUGAUUUCUUCUUCUUUUUCUCCUCCUCCUCUUUCAUCUCCUCUAUCUUAUUCUCCUUACCUUAUUUUCCCCCGACAAUGAGAUAAUUAGCCCAUUUAGCUACAAAAUGGCAUAAAAACCUUGGUUAGCUCAUGAAUAUUAUAUUCUUAACUUGUUUUCCUAUAAAAUGACAUAAUUAGAAUAUUUGUGUUGAUCGGGUGGAUUUACAUGUGAUAGUUGUCUCAUCGCUGUGAGGUCUGCUGUGCGAAGACCUCCCCAUGCGUUGUACGAGCUCCGCACCUGCAUUCGUGGGUCAGUACAAAUUUCAUCUCCUCCCCGCCCCUUCAUUUACUGUGGCUCGGUUUCCGGAUGAAACUUUCUAGAUUUAGGUAAUUAAAUUAAUUUAUCAGUAUGCGUGACCAGUAUGCGUCUCCCGUUCGAAAGGGUGAUCCUUUCGAAUUGUCCAACAUUAUCCAUGGACGACCCGAGUAUGUGUAGAUUGGGUUCGUUUUCCUGUAUGCUGUGCUCUGGAUCCGAUGCGAAAUUUCGUCAGUGCCUCCCUGUUGUUCUCUGGAUGCACAUCCUCUCUGUUUAUUGCGGAGACGUGUAUCAGUAGAACAUCGGGGAGGUGCUGCCGAAAUUUUGCGUUGGAUCCGGAGCAGAGCAUGGUGGGAUUAGGACCUAUCUUUACCUAUUAGCGUGUAGGUUGCCUCGACGUAAUAAAAAUGGCGAACCUGAUUAACCGAUGAAUAUAAAUGCUAAAUUAUAUAUAAAUAUAUUUCUUCUGUCUUUAGUAGCUAGGCAAGAUGAGUGAUCGUGCGUGGAUGUAUACCGGUCACCCUAGUCACAAAGAGAUGGCGAAAGAAUGGUUUGUAAAAACAAAGGAAUUUGUGAAAGCCGCAUUCGCAAAUGGCCAGGAAAGAAACUAUUGCCCGUGUCCUGGAUGCGACAACUAUAAAAAGACGACAAAGGCUGUAAUGAUUAAACACCUGCAAAGGAGGGGUUUUAAGCCUAAUUAUACGGUGUGGACAUUUCAUGGUGAGUCUAUACAACUCACAAGAGGUGAGGUGGUCCAUCGUCGCACGAACGAGCAUGGUACCGGGAUCGAAGACAUGGUGCCAGACUUUGAUGAUGCUCGGGAUUCGGAAGAUGAGAUGGAGGAAUCUGCAAAGGCCUUUUAUGAAAUGUUGGAGCCUUGAAAACGUCCUCUCCAUGAGCACACUGAGCUCUGUCAGCUGGAUGCAAUUGCACAAGUAAUGGCUCUGAAGGCUCAAUUCAACUUGGGAAGAGAAUGCUGCGACGAGAUGAUGACACUAUUUGGACGCUUCCUACCCAAAGGCCAUGUCAUGCCUGCAAACCUGUACCAGUCGGACAAAAUACUUCGUGUACUUAAGAUGACCUAUGAGAAGAUAGAUGCAUGUGACAAAGGAUGUGUCUUAUUUAGGAAGGAGUAUGCACACUUGGACUAUUGUCCCAAUUGCGAGUCUUGCAGGUAUCUUGUGGUAGACAACGGUAUGGGUGAGAAGAGGCAGACCAAAAUCGCAGUUAGUGUUAUUCGGUAUAUGCCAAUCGUACCAAGACUUCAACUUCUUUUCAUGGUCGAAGAGACAGCCAGACAGAUGACAUGGCACAAAUUGGGCAAAAGAACCGAACUAGAUGCGAGUGGGAAUAAGAUGGUGGUACACACAUCGAAUGGGGAAGCGUGGAAACAUUUCGAUGGAUUGCAUCAGGAUAAAGCGGAAGAUCCAAGGAAUCCUCGAGUUUGCAUCGCCACGGAUGGUUUUAACCCCUUCGGCAUGACGGCAACUAAAUAUAGUUGUUGGCAUGUAUUUGUCAUUCCACUCAAUCUCCCCCCCCCCCGAGUCAGAUUAUGCAAAGAAAGAACAUAUUUCUGACGUUGAUAAUUCCAGGGCGCAAUUAUCCGGGGAAGAAUAUGAAUGUGUACCUGCAGCCGCUUAAGGAUGAAUUGGAAGACGCUUGGGAUAAUGGGGUCAAGACAUACGAUGCCGCUAGAAAACAAAACUUCAAAAUGCAUGUGUGGUACAUGUACUCUAUGCAUGACUUGCCGGCGUAUGCAGUAUUCUCUGGAUGGUGUGUGCAUGGAAGGUUCCCGUGCCCCCAAUGCAAGGAAGCUCUUCAGUUUCAUUGGUUGCAGGAGAGUCGGAAGUAUUCUUGCUUUGACUUGCAUAGAUAGUUCCUGGAUCCUGACCAUCAGUUCAGAAAAGACAAGAAGAACUUUACCAAAGGUAAAGUUGUCAAAAACUUGGCACCACCUGCGUUGACAGGCCAACAGAUCCUGGAUCAGUUACACUCCCUCGAGCCUGAUCCAGAGCGGCCAGAGUAUUUCAAGGGGUAUAAUUCAAAACACACCUGGACUCAAAAGCCAUGCUUCUGGGAUCUGCCUUACUUCAAAGACCUCCUUCUUCCACACAAUAUCGACAUGAUGCACACUGAAAAGAAUAUCGGAGAGGCUAUUUUUGGUACAUUGUUUGACAUAGAUGGGAAUACAAAGGAUAAUACUAAGGCUAGAGUCGAUCAAGAGACACUAUGUCAUAGACCGUUACAAAACAUGCGAGAAGGCAAAGGAAAGCAGAAGUGGUCGAAGCCAAAGGCUUGGUUCAAUCUUGGAAGGCCAGCUAUGAGGGAAAUUAUCUUGUGGGUCAAAAUGCACUUGAUGUUCCCCGAUGGGUAUGCAACGAAUCUAAAGAGGGGAGCGAGUCUUGAAAAAUUAAAAAACUUUGGUCUCAAGAGUCAUGAUUGACACAUAUGGCUAGAGCGGUAAUGCCGGUGAAGUUACGUGGCUUUAUUCCUGAGGAUGAAUGGCUAGUACUGGCGGAGCUGAGCUAUUUCUUAGGUGUUCUUUGUGCAAAAGAAUUGUUGCCUGGCGUGGUAGAAGACAUGGAGGAGUUUGCACCGGAGUUGUUGUGCAAGUUAGAGAAGAUCUUUCCACCGGGCUUCUUUAAUCCAAUGCAGCAUUUGAUUUUACAUCUACCGACCGAGGCAAGAUUGCGUGGGCCCGUGCAAGAUUGUUGGUGCUAUGCAAGUGAGAGGAUGCAGAAGACCCUUCGAGCUAAAUGAAAAUUAAGCGUAGAAUUGAAGCAUCGAUGGUUGAGGCAUUCAUUACUGAGGAGGUGGCAAACUUUGUGAUAGCACACUUUGAAGCCAAAAAUCAUCAUUUGCAUAAUCUGAAUCCUCGGCACAAUGAUGCAGACCCUAAAAAAGGUGGGUCCAACCUCAGCCUAUUCAAAGGGAAGCUCGCACCUGCCGUUGCUUCAAAACCAAUAACGUUGGAUGUCGAAGAAUGGCGGAAAAUUUCGUUGUAUAUCUUCAACAACCUAACAGAAGUGCGGUCGUACAUCGAGUGAGUUCUCGGCACAUUUUCCCGUAACUUCUAAUUCAUUUGAACUGCUCUUAUUCCCGGAUAUUUCAAACAGCCGUUACGUCGCCAAAUUCUCGGAUGGAGCGGUGAUCGAAAAUGAUUUCGUCGAAGAGUAUGAGCUUCUGUCAAAGACACGAGGCGGCUAUCCCGGUUUCAUCUCUUGGUUCAAACAAACGGUAAUUAUCAAUAAUGGACCAUUUCAUCUCUUGGUUCAAACAAACGGUAAUUAUCAACAUUGCAACAAUCGUUUCGUAUUAAACUUUUAGGCUAAUUCAGAGUCUAUGGACGCCGAAUUGAGACAAGUCGCUAAUGGCUUUGACUAUAAGGUCCAUUCAUUUGAGAAAUACAACAUCAACGGGUACCUCUUUCAUACCUUUGGCAAAGAGGUAUCUAUGCCCGACCGGAAAUCUAAAAAUUGUGGUGUCUCUGCCAUCGGCGAAGGUGUUAUCGAGUAUUAUGGAAGAGUUGAAGCCAUUUAUGAACUUCAAUUCUAUGGUGAAAACCCACCGAACGUCGUAGUCUUCAAAUGUUAUUGGUUCCAGCCGAAUGAGACUAGAAGGACUCAUGAACAUAUAGGACUAGUAGAAAUCAAUCCAAACACCCAUUUAGAUGUUCCCGAUGUCUAUAUUACGGCUCAACAGGCGACCCAGCUUUUCUAUCUACCGUGGGCAUGCCAAACGGAUAAGAAUCUGGAAGGUUGGUAUGUUGUUUAUGAAGGGCCUCCACAUGUCAGACCACCUCUCCCAAAUGAACAGGAUUAUGAACCUCACAUUAACCCAAACACACAUGAUGGAGAAUUCUUCCAAGAAACACAUCUUUCCAAGAAACGUUUCAAGAACCGUCGUGCUUCACCCAAGAACAUGGAAGUAGACAGCGACAAUGAAUCCAACUCCAGCCCUGAGCCGGAACCAGAAGACCUGGAACUCGUAGAGGUUACUGAUGCGGAUGACCUUUCAAUGCUUCAACGAUUAAAGAAAGGCCUUUCACAACUUCACGUCCUUGAACCCGGCGAGCACGUCAUUCAUGAAGACAUGCGUGAUAGUGAUGAUGAUGAUUAUUAGUUAGUAAGAUUCACAACUUAAAUUAUAUUUAUUUUAAUAUUUAUUAUUCAUGUAUAUAUUAUUAUUCAUGUCAGUUAUUCAAUUUUUUUUAUGUUCUACUAAUUUCUUUUAAUCUUUAUCAUGGCAGGUCACUAGGUGUUGAAAUAUGGUGGGCGGUGGUCUAGAUCGCUCGACGGGUUCUUCCCAGGCGCCCCGCACGAGGGGUGGUACUUCCCUUGCACCCCUAUCUCUCCGUCGAGCCUUGGCAGACAGUCUGUCGACACCGCCCGUGGGUUCUUCUUCGUCGGCGGCAUUUCCCACUGGGAGAGGUGUUGGUCGGGUAGGGAAGAAGGGGAAGGGUACAGUGAGAGGUGGUGUCCGCGGAAGAUCCAGGAGGACUGUUGAGCCGUCCUCGCCACCACCACCAGCUCAUUCACCCGAGCAUAGGACUACUAUGGUCGACCCGUGUGCGGAGGAGGCUACGAGGACUCCGUUCCAGGAGCCUGGUGUUGACAGGCAUUCGUCCCAUGAGACUCCGGUCCAGGAUCAGCCUCGGGUCGAUGUGCAUUCGGCCCACGAGACUACGGUUCAGGAGGCUUCAACCGACGUGGAGAGGCCCGGAUGGGAGACCUGGCCGGAUCGGACCGAGUUGUCGGAUUGGACCGAGGGUCCGGGUGGCUCAGGUGGCGGGGAUGGCGGGGAUGAGCUUACGGUUAGUGAAGGCGAUGUUCAGAUGGACGGGGCCACCGUGUACAAGCGUGGUAGUACACGUCUCCCUGUCGUGCCGGCUACCCACGAGCACAGGCCGGUGAUUAAACCUGAAGGAGAUAGGUAAGUACAUUUACUCCUUUUUUUAGCUUUUGCCUUCAAGUUUGUUCAAAUAUCUAAUGCUUGACCUUAUCAUACUGCAGGGGAUGGUUACACCCUCUUGGAGUCCGCAGGCCGAACUCCGUCCUUGGUGUGCUUUGCCGGACAAAUUUCCCUUGGUUUGUCACGUUGCCUGGUGAGGGUCACAUUCCUACACUAGGAUUUUCCUGGGAGCACUACCAGGCUGCGCAGGCCCGGCCGGAGGAGAUUAUUGAUGGUGUCUUGUGCCACACGAGGGCCGAGAUAGUAAUCAAGAGCUUUUGGGUAAAUUAUCCUUUUACACAAUCUAAAAUUAACAAUAUAGCUAAUUAUUGUACUAAUCGGUGUUUUCACGUUUGAUUGCAGACCUUCUAUAGGUGUGAGGAUGGAUAUGAGGAGGAGGCGGCCAAGGUUCUCGAGGCCGAGUGUAGGCGGUUACUACAGAACUUACGCCACGAGGCUCGGCCGCAGGCUAUUCGAGACUACUACGCCACGCGUGGUAUUAAGAAGGAGAAGAAGGAUUGCUGCGGAAAGUUUCUGAAGAAGGAGCAAUACAUGAAGGUAAUUACCUAUUCUUAAGUCCUUCUACGUAGUUUUCUUGAUUUCAUUCAUAGGCGUAGCACUCAAAAUUCUUUCUAAUAACUUACAGGUGCCCCCGAGAUGGUGCGCGGAUAACAUGGAUUGUUGGGAGGCGUUGGUUGAUGAGUGGUGCACAGGCAGCUGGCGAGCCGUCCACGAGAAUGCGAAGGAUCGGCGUAGCCAAAUGGUUGGUGUGCCACACCAUCAAGGUAGCGCCAACUUACUUCAGUUCGGAUGAAAUUGGGUAUGUGGUUUGCUUCAUGAUUCAUGCAAUUCAUUCUUCAUGCUAAUAUUUUGUUCCUCUCUUUUAGGCGCAUCACAAUAAGACGGAGAUGCCACACUUGUACGACCUUUAUGGCAUGGCCCAUACUGCCUCGUACAAGAAGGAGAAGGCAUUCUCUGAGUAUGACCUGGAUGAUCCCAAUAACUUCACCUACAUAUCAUCCCACCACAAGCUCGUGGCAUACAGGGACGCGGGGAAGGCUACGAAAGGGGAUGAUUUUAACCCUAGCCAGGAACCUUUGGAUCCAGAGCUGGUGAUGAUAUCUGGUGGCGGGAGGCCCCAUGGCUCGAUAGCCAUUGGAGAUGGGAUAAUACGUUGUCCACUCACUCUCCCGGAGAUCAAGGCGUGCCAGUCGAGCAGCUGUCCUGAGAUAACGCGUCGUCCACGGCCAGUCGAUCUUGCCAUCGAGGUUAGUUGUACGGACUAAGAACACUUUCAUCCAUUUCAUUAUGUGUGUCACCAUAGAUCAUUACUAUGGUAACGAGGAAUGGUGUUUCAGGCUGCUCUUCAGAAAGAGAGAUUGGUAAGCCAGGCUGUUCUUGAGAAAGAGAGAUUGGCAAGCCAGGCUGCUCUUGAGAAAGAGAGAUUGGCAAGUCAGGCUGCUCUUGAUGAGAGGGACCAGACCACGACACGAUUGAUUGAGGAGGCGAGGUCCCGGAAUGAGGCGGGUCAACGGGCCCUGUACGAGCUUUUUGUGGUAAUUUUAUUUCACCUUAGCCAAAUCAUGUGUGUAAUGUCUGUUUCAUUACUAACUAAUACGACCCACUCUUCAGGGUCUGUGCGAGAAGAGCGGUCAAGUCCCUCCGCCGAUGCCCGUCUUCUCUUCGAUUGGCACGGUGAGUUUCAUUAUAAACUAGUAUUUAUAAUUGAGUGUCAUCAUGCUAACUGAGACAUUGCAAAAUAUCUAUUCUGCAGAAUAACUCCCGAGCGGCAUCGCACGACCCUUCUCUAGGUGUUUCUCCUCCUUGAUGACCACUACGGUAAGUUUCUCUUCUCCUCUUUCAUAUUCUCCAUGCCUUAAUUUCCCCAACAAUGACAUAAUUAGCCCAUUUAACUCCAAAAAGACAUAGUUAGCUAAUUUAGCUCCAAGAAGCGGAGGAUAGGAGAAGAAAUAGGAAAAAUGAAAAGAAAGAAGAAGAAGUUGAUUUUUUAUUAUUUGGUAUUUAGUGGUAGCUAGACUCUGUUUUUGUUAUUUUUGUUGUUGUUUAGUGCUAUCUAGGUUUAGCGAUAGGUUUAGUUAGCUUGGUUAGUUAGGUUAGUUAGUUAGUUAGCUUAAUAGAAAGAAUAGGAAGGAGAAGAAGAGGGGGAGGAGGAGAAGAGGAGAAGAGGAGGAGCUGUCUCUUAUACACAUCUNNNNNNNNNNNNNNNNNNNNNNNNNNNNNNNNNNNNNNNNNNNNNNNNNNNNNNNNNNNNNNNNNNNNNNNNNNNNNNNNNNNNNNNNNNNNNNNNNNNNNNNNNNNNNNNNNNNNNNNNNNNNNNNNNNNNNNNNNNNNNNNNNNNNNNNNNNNNNNNNNNNNNNNNNNNNNNNNNNNNNNNNNNNNNNNNNNNNNNNNNNNNNNNNNNNNNNNNNNNNNNNNNNNNNNNNNNNNNNNNNNNNNNNNNNNNNNNNNNNNNNNNNNNNNNNNNNNNNNNNNNNNNNNNNNNNNNNNNNNNNNNNNNNNNNNNNNNNNNNNNNNNNNNNNNNNNNNNNNNNNNNNNNNNNNNNNNNNNNNNNNNNNNNNNNNNNNNNNNNNNNNUUCCCCAACAAUGACAUAAUUAGCCCAUUUAGCUCCAAAAUGCCAUAAUAAGCUCAAAAUGGCAUAAGAACCUUGGUUAGCUCAUUAAUUUUAUAUACUUAGCUUGUUUUCCUCUAAAAAGGGAUAAUUAGCCCAUUUAGCUCCAAAAAGACAUAGUUAGCUAAUUUAGCUCCAAGAAGAGGAGAAGAGGAGAAGAACUGUCUCUUAUACACAUCUGACGCUGCNUCCCGAGCGGCAUCGCACGACCCUUCUCUAGGUGUUUCUCCUCCUUGAUGACCACUACGGUAAGUUUUUCUUCUCCUCUUUCAUAUUCUCCUUGCCUUAAUUUCCCCAACAAUGACAUAAUUAGCUCAUUUAGCUCCAAAAUGCCAUAAUAAGCUCAAAAUGGCAUAAGAACCUUGGUUAGCUCAUUAAUAGUAUAUACUUAGCUUGUUUUCCUCUAAAAUGGGAUAAUUAGCCCAUUUAGCUCCACAAAGACAUAGUUAGCUAAUUUAGCUCCAAGAAGAGGAGAAGAGGAGAAAUGAAAAGGAAGACCAAAAAGAAGANNNNNNNNNNNNNNNNNNNNNNNNNNNNNNNNNNNNNNNNNNNNNNNNNNNNNNNNNNNNNNNNNNNNNNNNNNNNNNNNNNNNNNNNNNNNNNNNNNNNNNNNNNNNNNNNNNNNNNNNNNNNNNNNNNNNNNNNNNNNNNNNNNNNNNNNNNNNNNUUCUCCUCCUCCUCCUAUUUCUUCUCCUCUUUCAUAUUCUCCUUGCCUUAAUUUCCCCAACAAUGACAUAAUUAGCCAAUUUAGCUCCUAAAAGACAUUAUAAGCUCAAAAUGGCAUAAGAACCUUGGUUAGCUCAUUAAUAUUAUAUACUUAGCUUGUUUUCCUCAAUAAUGACAUAAUUAGCCCAUUUAGCUCCAAAAAGACAUAGUUAGCUAAUUUAGCUCCAAGAAGAGGAGAAGAGGAGAAAUGAAAAGAAGGAAGANNNNNNNNNNNNNNNNNNNNNNNNNNNNNNNNNNNNNNNNNNNNNNNNNNNNNNNNNNNNNNNNNNNNNNNNNNNNNNNNNNNNNNNNNNNNNNNNNNNNNNNNNNNNNNNNNNNNNNNNNNNNNNNNNNNNNNNNNNNNNNNNNNNNNNNNNNNNNNNNNNNNNNNNNNNNNNNNNNNNNNNNNNNNNNNNNNNNNNNNNNNNNNNNNNNNNNNNNNNNNNNNNNNNNNNNNNNNNNNNNNNNNNNNNNNNNNNNNNNNNNNNNNNNNNNNNNNNNNNNNNNNNNNNNNNNNNNNNNNNNNNNNNNNNNNNNNNNNNNNNNNNNNNNNNNNNNNNNNNNNNNNNNNNNNNNNNNNNNNNNNNNNNNNNNNNNNNNNNNNNNNNNNNNNNNNNNNNNNNNNNNNNNNNNNNNNNNNNNNNNNNNNNNNNNNNNNNNNNNNNNNNNNNNNNNNNNNNNNNNNNNNNNNNNNNNNNNNNNNNNNNNNNNNNNNNNNNNNNNNNNNNNNNNNNNNNNNNNNNNNNNNNNNNNNNNNNNNNNNNNNNNNNNNNNNNNNNNNNNNNNNNNNNNNNNNNNNNNNNNNNNNNNNNNNNNNNNNNNNNNNNNNNNNNNNNNNNNNNNNNNNNNNNNNNNNNNNNNNNNNNNNNNNNNNNNNNNNNNNNNNNNNNNNNNNNNNNNNNNNNNNNNNNNNNNNNNNNNNNNNNNNNNNNNNNNNNNNNNNNNNNNNNNNNNNNNNNNNNNNNNNNNNNNNNNNNNNNNNNNNNNNNNNNNNNNNNNNNNNNNNNNNNUGUAUAUAUGGAUGAACAAUUUAUGUGCAACUAUAUGUAUGUAUAUAUGGAAGAAACUUUGUAUGUGUUGGUUCUUUUGAUAUAUGGGAUGUACGUUGAUGAACAAAUGGCAUUGAUGAGUUUUAUAUGUAUAUCAUAUAUGUGUUGUGACCUAUUUAUCAUAUAUGUGCUAUGAAUUAUAUGUAUAUGUGCUGUGAAAUAGAAAAAAUAAACAAAAAUGUGACAAUAUAGGCUCUUUGCCGUCUGCCAGAUGAUGGCAAAGGCCUUUGCCAUCAGCUGACCGACGGCAAAGGUGCCACGUGACGCCCAACUAUGCAACCUGGGCAGUAGCAGAUGACCAUAUAGUAUCUUUGCCAUCUGCUUCCACGGGGGCAGACGACAAAGAAGAGGGCACAGAGGAGGGGGAGGAGGUGGAGGCUGACGGCCAAGAAGAGGGGGAGGCAGACGGCACAGAAGAGGGGGAGGCAGACGGCAAAAAGAGGGGGGAGGCAGACGACACAGAGGAGGGGGGGGGAGGAGGGGGAGGCAGACGACAAAGAAGAGGGGGAAGUAGAUGGCACAGAAGAGGGGAGGCAGACGGCAAAUCUUCCGUUAGCCCCUAACGGAGGCAACGCCUAUCGGCUGCCGUCUCGACCACUUUGCCGACUGCUCUUAUGAAAAGGUGACAGCAAAGCUCUUUGUCGUCUGCUUCGGUGAGACAAACGACAAAGAAGCUACAAUGCCGUCGUAGGCUGACGCAGAAAUUUUGCCGACAGUGAGAUUCUUUGCCGUCUGUGAUAUUCUCUUUUCCGUCCGUCAUAUACUCUUUGCCGUCUGUGAUGGGCAAAGAAGCUAAUUCCUGUAGUGGUAGUCAUUAGAACGUGUCUGCCAGAUGUUCAUAAUGUCUGCAGACGACUCUGGAGGGGGUGCCACAUCGAGCGGUGCAUCAAGGACAUAAGCCUUUUGGGAAACCGUGAGGACAAUUCUCAGAAUACGGGCCCAGUCUACAAAUUUACUUCCAUCAUCUUUCAGCUUGGCUUUCUCUAGGAACGCAUUGGAAUUCAGGGGUGCUACUACCCUAGCCAUAGAUCUACAACAUAACUUUUCAAAGAUUUCUUAGACUAUUCUUUAAGAUAAUGAGUUUAUUUAAUCAUAUUACGUACAAACUCCUAGUCAAAUUGACAUCCCUCCGGUCAUCCAAGUGUUACAUGAUCCAAAUUCACCAACCCAAGUCAGAUCAUCACGUGAGAUGAGGUGGUUUCAAUGGUGAACAUAUCCAUGUUGAUCAUAUAUACUAUAUCACUCAUGUUCGACCUUUCGAUCUCUUGUGUUUCGAGGCCAUGUGAGUACAUGCUAGGCUCAUCAAGUUUAACCCCAGUGUUCUGCACGUGGAAAACUCGUUUGUACCCAUUGUAUGAGAACGUAGAGUUUAUCACACCUGAUCAUCACGUGGUGCUUCCAAAUGACAAACUUACGCAAUGGUGCACACUCAGGGACAACAAAAUUUUAUCUUAAACUUUUAGUGAGGGAUCACCUUGUAAUGCUACCUUCGCCCUAAGUAAAAUGAUAGUCAUAAAAGGAUUAACAUCACAUGCAAAUCAUAAGUGACAUGAUAUGGCCAUGAACUUGUGCUUUUCAUCUCAGUUUCCAAAGCACCAGCAUGAUCUACAUCAUCACCAGCAUGACACCAUGAUCUCCAUCCUCAUGAUCUCCAUUUUCAUGUUGCCGUCAGGGUUGUCGUGCCAAGCAUUCUUCUACUACUAUUGCUACUGUCUAGCGAUAAAGUAAAGCAUUACAUAGCGCUUAAUGAUUGACAUGCAGGUCAUACAAUUAUUAAAGACAACCCUAUCGCUCCUGCCGGUUGUCGUAUGCAUCGAUACGCAAGUUGAUGAUAAAUAUUACACAACAUGAUCAUCUAAUACAUCAAAUAUAUUUCAUCAUGUCUUUUGCCGUAUCAUAUCACAACAUACCCUACAAAAACCAGUUAGACACCCUCUAAUUUGUUGUUGCAUGUUUUACGUGGCUGCAAUAGGUAUCUACCAAGAACGAUUCUUACCUACGCAAAACCAUAAUGCUGAUAUAGAAGUUGCUAUUUAACCUUAUAUAAGGACCACCUUCGUGAAAUCUGAUUCAACUAAGGUGGGAGAGACAGACAACCGCCAGCCAUCUUAUGCAACAAAGUCACAUGUCAGUCGAUGGAACCGGUCUCUCGUACAUGGACGAGUAAGGUUGGCCCGGGCUACUUCAUCCCACAAAACCGCUGAAUCAAGAAAAUACUAAGGAAGGAAACAAUAUGAGUAUCAACAAACACAAACUCCUUUGUGUUCUACUCGUGAUGUCAUCUACUCAUAGACCAAGCUCAAUCUUGGGGAAUGUUGCAUGGGAAACAAAAAGAUUCCUACCCUCACCAAGAUCAAUCUAGGUGAAGAACAUCUACGAGAGGAGAGAUUGCAUCUACAUAUCCUUGUAAAUUGCUAAGUGGAAGCGUUAAGGAACGCGGUUCAUGUAGUUCAACGUGUUCACGAUCCAAUCACGAUCCAUCUCGCAAACUCCCAAUCAAGCGUCGAACGGACGGCACGUUCGCGUUCAACAUACGUACAGCUUGAUGAUGCCUUCACCUCCUUGAUCCUGCGAGCGAUGGUGAAGUAGCAGCCUGAGUCCUCUGGCAACACGAUGGCGUGGUGAGGUGGAGGUGGUGACAGCUCAGCGGGGCUUCGCUACGCGCUAUGGAGAGGAGAUGAACUACAAGGGAGAGGAGGAGGAGCGUCAUAGCACAUUGUAGUGUGUCUCCCCUCUCUCUUUAUAUAUAGGGGGAGGAGGGUGGGGCGCCUUAGGGUUUCCCCUAGGGGCCGGCGGCCAAGGGGUGCGGCUAGGGCUUGGGGUGGCCCCUCCCCAAGGCGCCUUGCCACCGAAUUUAGGGUGACCAGCGACCCUAGGGGUGUGGCCAUCUCUUAGCCAUGGUGGGCUGAGGUUGGGGCGGCGUCCCGCCCCCUUGUAGGAUGGUGUGCCCCCUCUCCAUGGCCCAUGAGCCCCCCAACACUUGUCAGGGCCCCCGAAAACCCUUUCAGUACUCCGUCGAUUCCCUGGCAUGCCAUGGAAAUAUUACGGACUCCAAUACCCUUCAUCCUAUAUAUGAAUCCUCACCUACAGACCAUUCCGGAGUUCCUUGUCAUAUUUGGAUCUCAUCUGGGACUCCGAACAAUCUUCGGUCACCAACAUAAUAACUCGACUAUGCUUAUAUCGUCACCAAAGGUUAAGUGUGUAGACCUAGUCGGUUGGAGAACUAUGUAGACAUGACCGAGACACCUCCACGGCCAAUAGCCAAUAAUGGGACCUGGAUGUCCAUAUUGGUUCCUACAUAUGCUAUGAAGAUCCUUCUCGGUGGAACCUUGAUGUCAAGUAUUCAGUCAAUACCAUAUGUAGUUCCUUUUGUUCAUCGGUAUGUUACUUGCCCAAGAUUCAAUCGUCGGUAUCUCCAUACCUAGAUCAAUCUCAUUACCGACAAGUCUCUUUACUCGUUCUGUAAUACAAGAUCAUGUGACUAACUCUUUAGUCACAUUGCUUGCAAGCACAUUAUGAUGUUGUAUUACCAAGUGGGCCCUGAGAUACCUCUCCGUCGCAAGCAGUAAAAAAUCAAAGUCUUGAUCCAUGCCAACUCAACAUACACCCUCAGAGAUACCUGUAGAGCAUCUUUAUAGUCGCCCAGUUACGUUGUGACGUUUGAUACACACAAGGUACUCGUCCUCUGUCAGUGAGUUGCAUGAUCUCAUGGUCAUAGGAACACAUACUUGACAUGCAGAAAACAAUAGCAAUAAACUAACAUGAUCAUAUGCUACGUUCAUAGUUUCGGUCUUGUCCAUCACAUCAUUCUCCUAGUGAUGUGAUCCCAUUAUCAAAUGACAACUCAUGUCUGUGGCCAGGAAACCUUGACCAGCUUUGAUCAACGAGCUAGUCCAUAAGAGGAUCACUAGGGAGACGGUGUUGUCUAUGUACCCACACAUGAAUUUGAGUUUCGAAUCAAUACAAUUCUAGCCUGGAUAAUAAAAGAUUAUCAUGAAUAAGGAAAUAUAAUAAUAACCACUUUAUUAUUGCCUCUAGGGCAUAUUACCAACCGUGAAUCCUGUGGAAAUUUCUGAAACCUUCUAGAAGCUUCUAGAUACAAUACCAAAAAAACUGAAACUUUUCCGGUAGCUAAAAUAUGACUUCCCAUAUAUAAUAUUACCUCCGAACCAUUACGGAGCACCUCGUUACAUCUAGGAUCUCAUCUGGGACUACGAAGAACAUUCGGUCACCAACACAAUAACUCAACUAUGUCUAUAUUGUCAUCGAUUGUUAAGUGUGCACGCCGUGCAGGUUCGAGGACUAUGCAGACAUGACCGAGACACCUCUACGAUAAAUAACCAACAGAGUGACCUGGAUAACCAUAUUGGUUCUUACAUAUUCUAUGAAGAUAUAUAUCGGUCAAACCAGCGAUGUCAAGUAUUUAGUUCAUCCCAUAUGUAGUUACCUUUGCCCAUGGUAUAUUACUUGCCCAAGAUUUGAUCGUCGGUAUCUCCAUACCUAGUUCAAUCUCAUUACCGGCAAGUCUCUUUACUAGUUCUGUAAUACAAGAUCUCGUGACAAACUCUUUAGCCACAUUGCAUGCAAGCUUAUUGUGAUGUUGUAUUAUCGAGUGGGCCCCAAGAUACCUCUCUGUCAUACAAAGUGUCAAAUCAUAGUCUUGAUCCAUGCCAACUCCACACACACCCUCGGAGAUACCUAUAGAGCCCCUUUAUAGUCACCCGGUUACAUUGUGACGUUUGAUACACACAAGGCAUUCCUCCGGUGUCAAUGAGUUAUAUGAUCUCAUGGUCAUAGGAACGGACACACUGACUUAAAGAAAGCAACAGUAGUAAAACUGGAUACGAUCAAACGCUAUGCUUAAGGUUUGAGUCUUGUCAAUCACAUCUUUCUCCUAAUGAUGUGAUCCUUUUAUCAAAUGACUACUCAUGUCUAUGGCUAGGAAACCUUAGCCAUAUCUGAUCAACGAGCUAGUCCAGUAGAGGCUCAGUAGGGACACAGUGUUGUCUAUGUAUCCACACAUGUACUUGAGUUUCAAAUCAAUACAAUUAUAGCAUGGAUAAUAAAUUAUUAUCAUGAACAAAGAAAUACUAUAAUAAAUAAUUUAUUAUUUCCUCUAGGGCAUGUCUGAAAGAGUCUCCCACUUUCACUAGAGUCAAUAAUCUAUCUCACAUCACCAAGUGAUUAACACGCAAUGAGUCCUCGGUUUGAUCGUGUUUUGCUUGUGAGAGCGAUUUUAGUCAACGGGUCUGCAACAUUCAGAUCCGUGUGUAAUUUACAAAUAUCUAUGUCCUAAUGUAGAUGCUGCUACCACGCUCCAUUUGGAACUAUUACAAAUGACUGGUCCACGAUACGAAUCCGGUUUCCUACUUAGAGUCAUCCGGAUUGGUGACAAAGCUUGCAUCAACGUAACACUUUACGACGAACUCUUUUAUCAACUCUAUAAUCGAGAAACAUCUCCUUAGUCCUCUAGUUACUAGGGAUAAUUUUGACCGUUGUCCAGUGAUCCACUCCUGGAGCACUAUUGUACCCCUUGGCACACAAAUGGCAAGGCACACACCACGUGUAGUACACAACAUGGCAUACUAUAGAGCCUACGACUAAGGCAUAGGGGACGACCUUCGUCCUUUCUCUUUCUCCUGCCGUUGUUGAGUUUUGAGUCUUACUCAAAUUCACACCUUACAAUAUAGGCAAGAACUCCUUUGACUGAUCCAUUUUCAACUCCUUCAAAAUCUUUUCAAGGUAUGUAUUCAUAGAAAGUUUUAUCAACCGUCUUGAUCUAUCUCUAUAGAUCUUGAUUCCCAAUGUUUAAAUAGCUUAAUCCAGGUUUUCCUUUGAAAAAAUCCUUUCAAAGAACCCUAUAUGAUUUUCAAAAAUUGUACAUAAUUUCCUAUCAACAAUAUGUCAACCACAUAUACUUAUCGGAAAUUCUAUAGUGCUCCCACUUAGUUUCCUGUAAAUACAAGUUUCUUCAGAAGCUUUGUAUAAACCAAAAGCGUUGAUCACUCAUCAAAGCGCUUAUUCCAACUCCAAGAUGUUUGCACCGGUCCAUAAAUGGAUCGCUGGAGCUCGCAUGCCUUUUAGCAUCCUUAGAAUCGACAAAACCUUCUGGUUGUAUCACAUACAACCUUUCUCAAGGAAACCAUUCAGGAAACGAUGUUUUGACAUCCAUCUGCUAGAUUUCAUAAUUUAAAAAUGUAGCAAGUGUUAACAUAAUUCCAACAGGCUUUAGAAUUUCUAUGGGUGAGAAAGUCUCAUCGUAGUCAAGUCCUUGAACUUGUGGGAAACCUCUUUGCGAUUGGUCGAGCUUUCUAAAUGGAGACAUUUACCAUCAUCGUAUGUCGUCCUUUUAUAGAUCCAUUAGUACAUAGUAACCUUACGACCAUCAAGUAGUUCUUCCAAAGUGCACACUUUGUUUUCAUACAUGGAUCCUAUCUCGGAUUUCAAGGCCUCCAGCCAUUUGUCAGAACUGAUCCCACCAUCGCUUCUUCAUAGCUCGUAGGUUCAUUGUUGUCCAACAACAUGACCUCUAACACAGGAUUAUUGUACCACUCUCUAGUAGUACGUGUCCUUGUCAACCUAUAAGGUUUGGUCGUAUCUUGAUCUGAAGCUUGCAUGCCNNNNNNNNNNNNNNNNNNNNNNNNNNNNNNNNNNNNNNNNNNNNNNNNNNNNNNNNNNNNNNNNNNNNNNNNNNNNNNNNNNNNNNNNNNNNNNNNNNNNAUCAUCAUCUUCCCCUUCAAUUGGUGUAGGCGCCACAGGAACAACUUCCUGUGCCCUGCUACACACUGGUUGAAGUGACGGUUCAAUAGCCUCAUCAAGUUUCCACCAACCUCCUACUAAAUUCUUUCGACAAAAACUUUUUCUCGAGAAAGGACCCGUUUCUGGAAACAAACACUUUGCUUUCGGAUCUGAGAUAGGAGGUAUCCCCAACUGUUUUGGGUAUCCUAUGAAGAUGCACUUAUCCGCUUUGGGUUCGAGCUUAUCAAACUGAAACUUUUUCACAUAAGCGUCACAGCCCCAAACUUUUAAGAAAUGACAGCUUAGGUUUCUCCAAACCAUAGUUCAUAUGGUGUCAUCUCAACGGAAUUACAUGGUGCCCUAUUUAAAGUGAAUGCGGUUGUCUCUAAUGCGUAACCCAAAAACUAUAGUGGUAAUUCGAUAAGAGACAUCAUAGUAUGCACCAUAGCCAAUAGGGCACGGCUAUGACGUUCGUACACAGCAUCACACCAUGGUGUUCCAGGUGGCAUUCAUUGUGAAACAAUUUCCACAUUGUCUUAAAUGUGCACCAAACUCGCAAUUCAGACAUUCAUCUCUACGAUCAUAUCGUAGACAUUUUAUCCUCUUGUCACGAUUAUCUUCAACUUCACUCUGAAGUUACUUGAACCUUUCAAUAAUUCAGACUUGUGUUUCAUCAAGUAAAUAUACCAAUAUCUACUCAAAUCAUCUAUGAAGUAAGAACAUAACGAUAUCGACCGCGUGCCUCUGCACUCUUUGGACUGCACACAUCAAAAUGUAUUACUUUCAACAAGUUACUUUCUUGUUCCAUCUCACUGGAAAACGAGGCCUUCAGUCAUCUUGCCCAUGUGGCAUGAUUUGCAUGUCUCAAGUGAUUCAAAGUCAAGUGAGUCCAAACGAUCCAUCUGCAUGGAGUUCCUUCAUGCGUUUACACCAAUAGACAUGGUCCGCAUGUCUCAAACAUUUCAAAAAUGAGUGAGUCCAUAGAUCCAUCAGUAUGGAGCUUCUUUAUGCGUUUUAUACCAAUAUGACUCAAGCAGCAGUGCCACAAAUAAGUGGAACUAUCAUUACUAUUUUGUAUCUUUUGGCAUCAAAUAUUAUGAACAUGUGUGAUACUACAAUCAAAAUUCAAUAGACCAUUCAUAUUAGGUGCGUGACCAUUGAAGGUAUUAUUCAAGUAAACAGAAUAUCAAUUAUUCUCUCUAAAUGAAUAACCGUAUUGCAAUAAACACAAUCCAAUCAUGUUCAUGCCCAACGCAAACACCAAACAUCACUUAGGUUCAACACUAGUCUCGAAAGUAGAAGGAGCGUGCGAUGAUGAUCACAUCAACUUUGGAAACACUUCCAACACACAUCGUCACCUCGCCUUUAUCUAGUCUCUGUUUAUUCCGUACCUUUUAUUUGGAGUUACUAACACUUAGCAACCGAACCAAUAUCUAAUACCCGGGUGAUACUAGGAGUACUAGUAAGGUACACAUCAAUAUCAUGUAUACCCAAUAUACUUUCGGCGACUUUGCCAGCAUUGUCAUCUACCAAGCAUCAAGGGUAGUGCUCCUUCAGUGACUGUUCCCCUCAUAUUAGAAGCACUUUGUCUCGAGUUCGGUCUCAACCUUGGGUUUCUUCACUAGAGCGGCAACUGGUUCUCCAUUCUUGAAGUAUCCCUUCUUUCCCUUGCCCUUUAGGAAACUAGUGGUUUCACUAACCAUCAACAAUUGAUGCUCCUACUUGAUUUGUACUUUCACGGUGUCAAACAUCGCGAAUAACUCACGGAUCAUCAUCUCUAUCGCUGAUAUGUUAUAGUUCAUCACGAAGCUCUGUAGCUUGGUAGCAGUGAGUUUGGAGAACUAUGUCAAUCACUAUUUUAUCUGGAAGAUCAACUCCCACUCGAUUCAAGCGAUUGUAGUACUCAAACAAGCCGAGCACAUGCUCAACGAUUGAGCUUUUCUCCCUUACUUCGUAGAGACAAAAUCUUGUCGGACGUCUUAUACCUCUCAACACGGGCACGAGCCUGAAUCCCGAUUUCAUCUCUUGGAACAUCUCAUAUGUCCCGUGACGUUCGAAACGUCUUCGACGCCUCAAUUCAAAGCCAUUUAAGCAUUAUGCACUAAACUAUCAUGUAGUCAUAAAAAAUUUGUAUGUUCGAUGUUUGCAACAUCUACAAACGACGUUCGGGGUUUAGCACACCGAGCGGUGCAUUAAGGAUAUAAGCCUUCUGUGCAGCAAUGGUCCGCAUAAUUGCUACUAUCAUCUUUCAACUAAUUUUUUUCUAGGAAUAUAUAAAAAACAAUAGAGCUACAAAGCAAGGUACAACAUAAUUUCCAAAGACCUUUUGACCAUGUUCAUGAUAAUGAGUUCAAUUAAUCAUAGUACUUAAGAACUCCCAUUCAUAUUGACAUCCUUCUAGUCAUUCGAGUGUCGCACAAUCCAAAUUCACUAACUCAAGUUCGAUCAUCACGUGAUUUGAGUUUAGCUUCAAUGGUGAACAUCUCCAUGUUCAUCAUAUCCACUAUAUGAAUCAUACUCGACCUUUCGGUCUCUUGUGUUCUGAGGUCAUGUCUCUACAUGCUAGGCGUGUCAAGUUUAACCCGAGUGUUCCGCGUGUGCAACGGUUUUGCACCCGUUGUAUGUGAACGUAGAGUCUAUCACACCCGAUCAUCACGCGGUGUCUCGAAACGACGAACUGUCGCAACGGUGCACAGUCGGGGAGAACACAAUUUUAUCUUGAAAUUUUAGUGAGGGAUCACCUUAUAAUGCUACAGUCGUCCCAAGCAAAACAAGGUGUAUAAAAGGAUUAACAUCACAUGCAAAUUAUAAGUGACAUGAUAUGGCCAUGAACUUGUGCUUCUUGAUCUCCAUCACCAAAGCACCGACAUGAUUACAUCGUCACCAACGCCACAAUAUGAUCUCCAUCAUCAUGAUCUCCAUGAUUGUGCUGCCAUCGAGGUUGUCGCGCUAACUAUGUUGUUACUACUAAAGCUACUACUAGCGACAAAGCAAAGCAUCUCCAAGCCCAAAAUAAUUACAGACAACCGUAUGGCUCCUGCCGGUUGCCGUAGCAUCGACGUGCAAGUCGAUAUUUAACUAUUAGAACCUGAUCAUCUGAUACGUCCAAUAUAUCAUAUCAUGUCUUUGGCCAUAUCACAUCACAUGCAUACUAUACAAAAACAAGUUAGACGUCCUCUAAUUUUAUUGGUGCAUGUUUUACGUGGCUGCUAUGGGUAUCUAGUAUGAUCGCAUCUUACUUACGCAAAACCACAACGAUGAUAUGCAAGUUUCUAUUUAACCUUCUCUAAGGACCGCCUCGGUCAAAUCCGAUUGAACUAAAGUUGAAGAAACUAACACCCGCCAGUCAUCUUUAUGCAACAAGUUGCAUGUUAGUCGAUGAAACCGGUCUCUAGUAAGCGUACGAGUAAUGUUGGUCCGGGCCAUUUCAAUCCAACAAUACCGCCGAAUCAAUAAAAGAGUAAGGAGGAAAGAAAAUAGGACAUCAACACCCACAAACUCUUUUGUAUUCUACUUGAGAUGUCAUCUAUGCAUAGACCUAGCUCAUGACGCCACUGUUGGGGAACAUUGCAUGGGAAACAAAAAAAAUCCUACGCGCAUGCAAUACCUAUCCAUGGUGAUGAUCAUCUAUGAGAGGGGAGAGUGAAUCUACAUACCCUUGUAGAUUGCUAAGCGGAAGCAUAUAUAACGCGGUUGAUGUAGUGGAACAUCUUCGCGGUCCAAAUCGCAGCCUGUCCCGCGAUCUCAUCACGAUCCGUCCCACGAUCCCAUCACAACCGGUCCCGGUCUAGUGCCGAAUGGACGACACCUCCGCGUUCAUCACACGUACAUCUCGAUGACGAUCACCGCCUUCUUGAUCCAGCAAGAGGGGCGGAGAGGUAGCUGAAUUCUCCCGCAACACGACGGCAUGGUGGUGAUGUUGGUGGAGCUACUCCGGCAGGGCUUCGUCGUGCCGUAUCAAACUAGCUACGGGGUGUCACGAAGUGGUGGAGGGAGAGAGGGCUGCACUAUGGCUUGGGGUCCAAAAAGCCUCUCAAACCUCCACUAUAUAUAGGUGUAACAAGAGGGACGGUUUCCUUGCCUCCUACUCAAAGUAGGAGGGUUUGGCCAAACCAAGAGGGAGGAGUCCUCCUCCAAUUCGGUUUGGUGGAGGACUCCUUCCUCACUUGUCCGCCUCCUUCCUUUUUUUCCUUUUUGCUUUUUAUUUUGUUUUGGCCGAAAUAGGUUAUUGGGCAGCCUUCACCAUCCCACUAAGGGCUGCUGCACCACCCAUAGGCCUAUUAGGUCCUCUCCCGGGUGAGUGGCCCCUCCCACUAAAACCCGGGAACCCAUUCGUCCCUACGAGUACUUUACCGGUAAUGCCCGAAAUCUUUCCGAAAGCCAAAUGCAACAUUCCUGUAUAUCAAUCUUCAUUUUCGGACCAUUACGAAAACUCUCACGACGUCCAGGAUCUCAUCCGGGACUCCUAACAACCUUCGGUUACCAAGAUCAAUAAUUCAACUAUACCGAAACGUCAUCGAACCUUAAGGGUGCAGACCCCGCGGGUUCAAUAACCUGAGACACUCUGCGGUAAAUAACCAAUAGCGGGACCUGGAUGCCCAUAUUGGCUCCUACAUAUUCUACGAAGAUCUUUAUUGGUUGAACCACUAUGUCAAGGAUUGACUUAAUCCCGUAUGUUGUUCCCUUUGUCCUUUGGUAUGUUACUUGCUCGAGAUUCGAUCGUCGGUAUCUCCAUACCUAGUUCAAUCUCGUUACCGGCAAUUCUCUUUACUCGUUCCGUAAUACAAGAUCCCAUGACUAACUCCUUAGUCACAUUUCUUGCAAGGCUUGUUGUGAUGUUGUAUUACCGAGUGGGCCCCGAGAUACCUCUCCGUCAUACGGAGUGACAAAUCCCAGUCUUGAUCCAUGCCAACCCAACAUACACCUUCGGAGAUACCUGUAGAGCACCUUUAUAGUCACCCAGUUACGUUGCGAUGUUUGAUACACACAAGAUAUUCCUCCGGUGUCCGGGAGUUGCAUGAUCUCAUGGCCAUAGGAACAGAUACAUAGGCAUGCAGAAAACAGUAGCAAUAAACUGACACAAUCAUAUGCUACGUUCAUAGUUUGGGUCUUGUCCAUCACAUCAUUCUCCUAAUGAUGUGAUCCUGUUAUCAAGUGACAAAACUUAUCUAUGUCUAGGAAACGCUUACCAUCUUUGAUCAACGAGCUAGUCAACUAUAGGCUCACUAGGGACAGUGUGUUGUCUAUGUAUCCACACAUGUAUUUGAGUUUCCAAUCAAUACAAUUCUAGCAUGGAUAAUAAGCGAUUAUCAUGAACAAGGAAAUAUAAUAAUGACCAAUUUAUUAUUGCCUCUAGGGCAUAUUUUCAACACUAACAUGGUAUUAGAGCCUAGAUUUUUUAGCAUGCGCAACUCGUGCUUGAUCCUCUUCUCAUACCCGCCGCCACCGUUUUUCCUCUAGUCUAGCUGCUGCUGUUGGAAAUAUGCCCUAGAGGCAAUGAUAAAUAGUGAUUAUUAUAUUUACUGUUUAAAGAUAAUCGUUUAUUAUCCAUGCUAUAAUUUUAUUGAAUGAAAACAUAAAUACAUGUGUGGAUAAAUAGACACAACAAUGUCCCUAGCAAGCCUCUAGUUGGCUAGCCAGUUGAUCAAAGAUAGUCAAGGUUUUCUAACUAUGUGCAAAGUGUUGUUGCUUGAUAACUGGAUCACAUCAUUAAGGGAAUCAUGUGAUGGACUAGACCCAAACUAUAAACGUAGUAUAUUGAUCGUGUCAUUUUAUUGCUAUUAUUUUCCGCGUGUCAAGUAUUUGUUCCUAUGACCAUGAGAUCAUAUAACCCACUGGCACUAGAGGGAUGCCUUGUGUGUAUCAAACGUCACAAUGUAACUGGGUGACUAUAAAGGUGCUCUACAGGUAUCUCCGAAGGUGUCCGUUGGGUUAGUAUGGAUCAAGACUGGUAUUUGUCACUCCGUGUGACGGAGAGGUAUCUCGGGGCCCACUCGGUAAUACAACAUCACACACAAGCCUUGCAAGCAAUGUGACUAAGUGUAAGCCACGGGAUCUUGUAUUACGGAACGACAAAAGAGACUUGCUGGUAACGAGAUUGAAAUAGGUAUGCGGAUACCGACGAUCGAAUCUCGGGCAAGUAACAUACCGAAGGACAAAGGGAAUGACAUACAGGAUUACCUGAAUCCUUGACACUGAGGUUCAACUGAUAAGUUAUUUGGAGAAUAUGUAGGAUCCAAUAUGGGCAUCCAGGUCCCGCUAUUGGAUAUUGACCGAGGAGUACCUCGGGGCAUGUCUGCAUAGUUCUCGAACCCACAGGGUGUGCACACUUAAGGUUCGGCGAUGUUUUAGUAUAGUUGAGUUAUAUGUGUGGUUACCGAAUGUUGUUCGUAGUCCCGGAUGAGAUCACGUACAUCACGAGGGUUUCCGGAAUGGUCCGGAGACGAAGAUUGAUAUAUAGGAUGACCUCAUUUGGUUAUCAGAAAGUUUUCGGGCAUUACCGGGAAUGUACCGAGAGUGACGAAUGGGUUCCGGAUGUUCACCGGGAGGGGGCCAACCCACUCGGGGAAGCCCAUAGGCCUUAGGGGUGCCGCACCAGCCCUUAGUGGGCUGGUGGAACAGCCCAAGAGGCCCUAUGCGCAGGAGAUAAGAAAUCAAAGGAGGGGGGGGGGAAAAAAAAGAGGUGGGAAGGAAGGGAAGGACUCCACCUUCCAAUCCUAGUUGGACUAGGAUUGGAGGUGGACUCCUCCACCUCCUUGGCCGGCGGACCCUUGGGGUCUUUGAACCCAAGGCAAGCCUCCCCACCCCUCCUCCUAUAUAUAGUGAAGGUCUAGGGAUGAUUUGAGACAACUUUGCCACGGCAGCCCGACCACAAAACAUCACGGUUUUUCCUCUAGAUCGUAUUUCUGCGGAGCUCGGGCGAGCCCUGCAGGAGUAGAUCCUUCACCACCACCGGAGUGUCGUCACGCUGCCGGAGAACUCAUCUACUUCUCCGUCUUGCUUGCUGGAUCAAGAAGGCCGAGAUCAUCGUCGAGCUGUACGUGUGCUGAACGCGGAGGUGCCGUCCGUUCGGCACUAGAUCGGAGCGGAUCGUGGGGCGGAUCGCGGGACGGUUCGUGGGACGGUUCGCGGGGCGAAUUGAGGGACGUGAGGACGUUCCACUACAUCAACCGCGUUUCUUAAUGCUUCCUGCUGUGAGAUCUACAAGGGUACGUAGAUCCAAAUCUCCUCUCGUAGAUGGACAUCACCUUGAUAGGUCUUCGUGUGCGUAGGAAAUUUUUUGUUUCCCAUGCGAUGUUCCCCAACAGCUGCUUCCUCCUCCUGGCCAAGGAUCCAGUCGGGCUGGUUGUUGCGGCCGAUCGCAUCUGCCCCGCAGUCGAUCUCGGGCCGCCUAGUCUCCCAUCCCGAUCCAACCACCGGCUACUGGGUCUCUCCCGAUUGGAUCGCCCCUGUCCUGCAGUCUUCCAAUCGAAUUCAGGCCACCCAGUCUCCCGUACCGAUCCAGCAGCCGCCGCUGGGUCUCUCCCGAUUGGAUCACCUUCGUCCUGUCGUCUUCCACUCACAGUCAACCCCACCACCAACCCCGCUCCAGAUCGCACUACGGGUUGUCCCAAUCCUGCCAACCCCGCUCUAGAUACCACUGCGGGUUGUCCCAAUCCAGUCACCAACUAAUGGAUCUCCCUGGCCAUUGCGGCUUUCCGUCGUCUCCUGGUUCUCGUGAUCUAUGCUGCCGUCGGGAGAGCUGCAUAUUCAUAAAAUAAUAUCUGCUGCAUCGGGCUAUGUUAUUGUUCCUCAUUGUCCUGUGAUUUUUGAUGGCACUAACUACAUCGAGUUCGUUGGCUUCAUGCACAUUCAUAUGCAUGGCAUCCGUCUAUCGGGUGUUCUUUCUCGCGAGGUCCAUUGUCCGCCACGUACGGUUCCUCCUAUGGCCCCCACUUCACCGACGCAACCGGUUCUUCCUGCGGAUGCUAAUCAGGCUGCGAAGGAUGCAGCUAAGCUUGUUGAUGAAGCCGAUGUUUGUGCUUAUGAUGACUAAUUUUUGACUUAUGAGGAGGCUCUUCAAGCGUAUCAUGGUUCUCUAUCUGUUUACGCCCAGUGGCUUGAUAAUGAUGCUCGUGGUGCAGCUGUUCUCACUCCUAGUGUUCUGCCUCAGUUUGCCUCUGAGUUUCUGGGCCUUCCUACUGUAUUUGAGAUGUGGACAUGUCUUCGUUAGUGCUAUGAGCCCUCUGGUGAUGCCUUAUACCUCUCUGUGGUCCGUCAGGAGCAUGCACUUCAGUAGGGUGACUCCACUGUUGAUGAUUUGUAUGCACAGAGUUCUGCUAUCUAGCGCCAGCUUGAUUCUCUCCCCAGUGCUGGUUGUCGUACUUGCCUAUGUUGCCGGGCUGUACAGGCCAAUUUGGAGUUUCAUCGUGUCUACGAGUUCUUGUCUCGGCUCCGUAAAGAGUUUGAGCCCCGGCGUGCUCAGUUGUUUGCUCGUGGCCGUAUUUCUCUCAUGGAGGCACUUUCUGAGAUUCUUGCUGAGGAGACUCACUUACGUGGUGCUGGUUCACUAGAGGUUCCCUCUGGGCUCGCUGCUCAAGCUCCUGCUACACCACAUGCUGCACCGACUCCUUCUCGCUCGAGUGCUCCGCCGCACUUGCCCACUCCUCCCGGUGGCUCGGGCCGCCCCCGUCCACAUUGCGGCUAUUGUAACUUGGAUGGUCAUGUCGAGUCUCAGUGCUUCGAGAAGAAGAAACACCUGUGCAAGGCGCGAUCAUCAUCUUCAGGGACUUCGUCUUCUACCUCGACAUCUUGAGCCACCGCUUUGACUGAGCAGGAUAUUCCGAGACUUAAGCGUCUGCUCGCCGCUUCAGGUUCUUCCUCGACGGGUAUUGUUGGUUCUAUGACUGAUGCUUCCCGUACUGAGCAACCACCUUCUACACAGUCAGGUACAUCCCCAUUGGUUCUAGACUCCGGAGCUUCUUUUCAUAUGUCUUCUCAUUCUUCCACUUUGUCCUCUCUUAGAUCGCUUGAUUUUCCUGUUCAUGUCCUCACUGUUGAUGGUACUCCUCUUUCCCUUGUUAGUAGAGGCAAUCUUACCACUCCUUAUUAUGUUCCUCGUGUUUCUCAUGUUCCUCGACUUACCAUGAAUUUGUUUUCUGCUGGUCAACUUACUCACUCUGGCUGUCGUGUCAUCCUUGACAUUGACUAUUGUUCUGUCCAGGACCGUCGCACGCACACUCUGGUUGGGGCUGGCCCUCACCAUCGUGAUUCUCAGGGUCUUUGGGAGUUAGACCGACUUCAUGUUCCUUCCACUGCCACCACUAUCGCCAGUUCCUCCACUUCAGUCGUCUCCGCUACCGAUUCCUUCCAGCAGUGGCAUCAUCGACUUGGUCAUGUUUGUGGUUCUUGUUUGUUGUUUUUAGUUCGUCGAGGUCUUCUGGGGUCUGUCUCAGGAGAUGUCUCUUUAGAAUGUUAGGGUUGUUGUCUUGGCAAACAGAUUCAGUUAGCAUAUUAAAAUAGUGAGUCAGUGUCUAAGCGUCCUUUUGAUUUAGUCCAUUCUAAUGUAUGGGGUCCGGCUCCCUUCGUUUCGAAAGGGGGUCAUCGAUACUAUAUUAUUUUCAUAGAUGAUUUCUCCUGUUACACAUGGCUUUAUUUUAUGACUUCUCGUAGUGAGGUGUUGUCUAUUUAUAAGCAUUUUUCUGCCAUGGUUCACACUCAGUUCUCUUGGCCCAUUCGUGUGUUUCGUGCUGACUCUGCUGGCGAGUAUAUUUUAAGAUGUUGCGUGGUGUUCUUGCCGAGCAAGGAACUCUUUCGCAAUUCUCUUGUCCGGGUGCUCACGCUGAAAAUGGUGUGGCUGAGCGCAAGCAUCGUCACCUUCUUGAGACUGCUCGUGCAUUAAUGAUCGCCGCCUCUCUCCCGCCUCAUUUUUCGACUGAGGUCGUCUCCACCUCCACCUAUCUCUUCAAUAUACAAUCUUCCGCUGCUCUACAAGGUGGUUUUCUUUUCAAAUGUCUUUUUGAUCGUUCUCUCGAUUAUUCGAUGCUUCGUUUGUUUGGUUGUGUUUGCUAUGUUCUUCUUGCUCCUCGAUAACACACCAAACUGACCGCUUAGUCUGUUGAGUGUGUCUUCUUAGGCUAUAGUGACGAGCAUAAGGGCUAUCGCUGUUGGGAUCCUAUCGGUCGUUGGAUGCGUAUUUCUCGGAAUGUGACUUUUGAUCAGUCUCGUCCGUUCUACCCACGCCCAUCUUCCUCGACCUUUUCAGUGGAGGAUAUCUCUUUCCUUACUUUUCCCGACACACCUAUCACCCCCAUCGAGCCUUGGUCUAUUCGUUCCGCUACCUCUCUUCUCCACCUCUUACUAAUUUGCCGCCACCAUCUCCCAUGGUUUCCUCACCUAGCAUGUCACUGGAUUCUACACCUUCCUCUCCGGUGACUUCUUCGUCUCCACACCCCGAUUCUACCUUGGCGACUCCUCCUUGUAUUCUUCCAUCUUUUCCUCAGUAUUACACUCGUUGUUCUCGUCAUUUGGAUGCCUCUACGGAUGUGUCAUCCUCCUCGUCUCAGCCUACAUAUGGCUUGCGUUCUCGUCCUUGUCCGCCUCUUGAUCGCUUUGGAUUUCCCGCCGCUCGUGAUGCUGUUCUUGAGCCGACUUCUUAUCAUGAGUCUGUUGUUCACCCUGAAUGGCAGUUUGUGAUGGCAUUGGAGAUUGCUGCUCUUGAACACACUAGUACAAGGGAUCUUGUUUCUCUUCCUCCCGGUGUCCGUCCCAUCACUUGUAAGUGGGUCUACAAGGUUAAGACUCGCUUAGAUGGUUCUCUUGAGCGUUACAAAGCUCGUCUUGUAGAUCGUGGCUUUUAGCAGGAGUAUGGUCGUGAUUACGACAAGACUUUUACUCCUAGGGCCCAUAUUGUUGGAAAUAUGCCCUAGAGGCAAUAAUAAAAUGGUUAUUAUUGUAUUUCCUAGUUCAUGAUAAUUGUCUAUUAUUCAUGCUAUAAUUGUAUUAACCGGAAACCGUAAUACAUGUGUGAAUAUAUAUAUCACAAUGUGUCCCUAGUGAGCCUUUAGUUGUCUAGCUCGUUGAUCAAUAGAUGAUCAUGGUUUCGUGAUCAUGGACAUUGGAUGUCAUUGAUGACGGGAUCACAUCAUUGGGGAAUGAUGUGAUGGACAAGACCCAAUCCUAAGCAUAGCACUAGAUCGUGUUGUUCGUCUGCUAAAGCUUUUCUAAUGUCAAGUAUCAUUUCCUUAGACCAUGAGAUUGUGCAACUCCUGGAUACCGUAGAAGUGCUUUGGGUGUAUCAAACGUCACAAUGUAACUGGGUGAUUAUAAAGGUGCACUACGGGUAUCUCCGAAAGUGUCUGUUGGGUUGUACGAAUCGAGACUGGGAUUUGUCACUUUGUGUGACGGAGAGGUAUCUCUGGGCCCACUCGGUAAUCCAUCAUAAUAUUGAACUCAGUGUGACAAAGGAGUUAGCCACGGGAUGAUGUGUUACGGAACAAGUAAAGAGACUUGCCGGCAACGAGAUUGAACAAGGUAUAGCGGUACCGACGAUCGAAUCUCGGGGAAGUAUCAUACCGGUAGACAAAGGGAAUUGCAUACGGGAUUGAUUGAAUCCCCGACAUCGUGGUUCAUCCAAUGAGAUCAUCGAGGAACAUGCGGGAACCAACAUGGAUAUCCAGACCCCACUGUUGGUUAUUGACCGGAGAGGUGUCUCGGUCAUGUAUGCAUGCUUCCUGAACCCGUAGGAUCUACGCACUUAAGGUUCGAUGACGCUAGGGUUAUAGGGGAAUAGUGUAUUUGGUUACCGAAGGUUUUUGGAGUCUCGGAUGAGAUCCCGGACGUCAUGAGGAGUUCUGGAAUGGUUCAGAGGUAAAGACUGAUAUAUAGGAAGUGAGGAUUUGGACGCCGGAAGUGUUUCGGGCGGCGUCACCGGUAAUGUACCGGGACCGCCGGAAGGGUUCCGGGGGUCCACCGGCAAGGGCCACCAGCCCCCAGUUGCUACAUGGGCUAAGAGUGGGUGGGAACCAGCCCAUAUGUGGGCUGGUGCGCCUCCACAAGAAGCCUAAGGCGCAACAAGGGUGGAGAGGAGUAAAACCCUAGGCGUGGGGAGGCCACCUUGGGCCUCAAGGCUCACCCUAGGGCGCCACCUCAUUGGCCGCCACCCCAAACCCAUCAAGGGCUGCCACACCCUUUAGGGUGGGAAACCCUAAAGGUGGGCAACCUCCUCCCUCUCCUCCUAUAUAUAGUGAGGGUUUUGAGGCUGAUUUGAGAUAACUUCUCUCUCUCUCUCUCGGCGCAGCCCUACACCUCCUCCUCCUCGUCCUCCGUAGUGCUUGGCGAAGACUUGUCGGAGUUACCACGCAGCUCCACCGUCACCAUGCCGUCGUGCUGCCGGAGCUCUCCCUCAACCUCUCCUCCCUCCUUGCUGGAUCAAGGCGUUGGAGACGGCACCGGGCUGCACGUGUGUUGAUUGCGGAGGCACCGACGUUCGCUGCAUAGAUCGGAAUCCACCGUGAUCUGAAUCGUUGCGAGUACGACUCCAUCAACCGCGUGUCACAUCCCUGGAACCCUAAUCAAGUAUAGAAUUGUGAUCAUAUCUUCUUUGCAUUGCAUCCAAGAAAAUUGCAACAAGAUCAAAGCAAGUGGUGAAGCAAAACUCAAAAACCCUAGCCACUUCUCAAAUUCAAAGAAAUUCUAAAUUUGUUCAAAUAAAUGAACCCAAAAUGGCCUCAAGAAAAGUUCAACUUUUCUGAUAAUUCAUGAAAGCAAAUAAGCAGUGAAGAAAACUAUUUUCAUAACACCUUUGGCAUUUUAUUUAAAUGCAAAAAGCUACUAGAUUCAAGUUGAAAAUUUGAAUUCAAAAACUUUAAGUUUUCAAAAAUGUUGAAAACUUCAGGAAUGGUUGGAUAUAUUCCAACAAAUAUUCUCGUGUGUUCAAAAUAUUUUUUGUAAACUAUUUUGGAGAUGAAAUAAAUAGCAAAUCAAAUAGUUAGCAAAACAGAAACAAAAUAGAAGAAAAUGGAAAGAAGCUUACGUGUCGACCUGAGGAGGCCCAGCCCACCAGGGGCAGGGGCGUCUUCUUCCUCCUGCCUUACUGGCAGAGGAGCGAACGCCCACGACGCCUCCUCCACCUUCUGCUUCGCCGUGGCACUCUCCGGUGCUCCCCAGGACAGCGCGACGGCAGGGAUAACCUCCCCGAGCUCUGGCCUAUCCAUUCCCGCGCUCCAUUUGCCCCCUCUCCUCUCGGUUUCUUCCUCCCCCACUGCCACCAUUGACAAGAGCUCGAGCUCGAGCUGCCCGUGCCUCAGGCCACUAGUUCUUUCCCCCGAGUGCCCAUUCGCUCCGCCUUGACGAGCUGGUCCUUCCUGCAAAAGCCGAAGGUCCCCCUGGCACUGCAACGCCCAUGGCACCGUCGUCUUCAAGCUUCGGCCGCCGGCGAGCUUCGAUCGAUUCGUCGCCUACAGCGCCUCCCCGAGCAAGCUAGCGCCACCACUGCACUCCCCGUGAGCUUGCACAGCUUUCCCCCAAGUUUUCCCCGUCGAUCUCUUCCUCUAGGCCUAGUUCCAUUGGAGCCCGACGAGGACCGCCGCUGCAGCUCGUCGCUGGUAGCCCUUCGGUGAAGGGUUGGUCCAUCUGAGGCCACCGGCAGCUUCAGGCCGUCGCGUAGAUGCUUUAGGAGCCCAGCCCCGCGCGAUUUGACCCUGUUUCCGAUGACCUCAACAAUGGCCGAGCUUUGGUCGCCGCCGAGCUCGUCACCGGCGUCGAUUCCGGCCAACCCAGCCCCUGGGGUUUGCCCCCAUCGUGCGCGCCGUCGAGUGGCCGAUCUCCCUGUGGUCUCCGCCGUGCGUUUGGUCGUCAGAGACGAGUUUCCAAUGCCCUCCGUCGUCUCUGGUGUCGCCGGAGGCUCACCGCCGGCGAGGACGACCUCGCCGCCGGUGGAUCUCAGCUGGCCUGAGCCACUGACGCGUGGGGCCAGCCUCCGGAUGUUUUGGAUUAAUAAAAAUAAAGUUAAUUAAUCUAAUAAGUCACUGACAUGUGGGUCGAGUACUGUUAAUUAGCUAAUUAAGUUUAAAACUAAUCUAAAGCUGACCAGAGUCACUGACAAGUGGGUCCCACUUGUCAGGUUUGACUUUCAACGGCCAGUUGGACCUGCUGAUGCCAUGCUGACGCAAUAAGUGGAUUUCUGAUUUAAAAGAAUUCCAGAAAAAUACCAAAACUUCUAAAAAUCAUAGGAACUAAUCUGUAACUCUAGUGAAAAUAAUUUAUAUAUGAAUAAGUAUCAGAAAAAUCCAAGGAAUCUGAAUAUGUCAUUUUCAAACAUGUUUGAAAAUGUUACUCGUCCAAACAUGUAGAAUAGUGAAUAAGUUAAAUUUUAUAAAUGCUAUGGAGAUGGAAUUUGAAAAUCAUUUGAAUUCCACUUCAAAUACUAUGACCAAACAUUGUUCAAUCACAACCAGCAACUUAACAUAUCAUUUCCAUGCAUGUUAAAAACAAGUUGAUCUAAGCAUCAGGUCGAAUCAAUUAAAAUGGUAUUCGAGAAUACCUCGUUUGAAGUGACAUUUGAAUAUGAUUCAAAUCAACUUCAAACCUAAUAAAUGUUAGCUAUAUUAGCAUACCACCUUGCAUCCUCAUGCCAUGCUCAUGCAUCAUCUUGUUGCAUAUGAUUGUUAUUGAUUGUUUUCAUUUCUUUCGGUAGGCUCCGCUCCUCCGGAUUCCACUGAAUAUCCGACUGACGGAUAUUGUCCCUCCUCUGAGCAACAAGGCAAGCAACCAUUUUGAUCAUCCCGAUAAAUCCCAUGUUCUCGCUCCUGCACUUACUUAUUGCAUUAGGAUCAAAUGCUUCAAAUGCUUUUGCCACGUUAGUUGAACCCACUUCCUUUGCAUGACCUGUCUUUGUCACAGUAAAUAGCUGAACCUUGCAACCUAGCAUACCUGGUAGAUGCUUGAGCCAUGAAGUGCCUUAUCCUGCUAUGCAUGCUAUGCUUAGAGUUGUGUAUGGCCUGUCAUCUGGGAGAUGAACAGAAUUGUGAGAAUGUGUUCAGUAAGUAAAGAUUGUGUGUUCAACCUGAUUUGGUAAAGGUACCGGUGAAAGGCUAUGUAGGAGUACAUGGUGUGUUGUUUCAUUGGAACCAUCCUUAGGAACUGAGUUCCAUGUAUGUAAUCCAAGACGAGAUACUACCACAUGCUGGGCCCUGAAAUAUAACCCCGCUCGACUUAUUAAUCGCUUAGUACUCGGUCGAGGAGUUGCAAGUAGUUUCUGGUGUUUAUAGUCAUGCUGGAGGCCGUGCAUAGUGCUGACCUGAGAGGUGGGCUGUGAUGCGGUAGGCAGUGGCACGGUGUACCAAGUGGCACCCGGAUGGUGGGCUUGGGAACCCUGCGCACAUCGUUUGGGGCCGUGGCAGAAACCUCGGCCGGACUUCCGUGCGGGUUACCCUCACAUAGGCGAUAGACCUGGACUAAGUAUUUGCGUGGUUAACGGUCGUGGCCGACUCCCUCGUUGGGCUUCUGCUUGAAGGUUGCCGAGGUGCAUGACAUGCACAUGGCGAUAAGUGGCGAGAGCGUGUGUGAAGAAGUACACCCCUGCAGGGUUAUGAUCUAUUCGAAUAGCCGCGUCCGCGGAUAUGGACUACUUGGAGACAUAUGUUGUUCAUAGAUAACUUUAAUGGCUACUCAUAAAAUUGUCAAGAUAAGCGUGAGUGUCGUGGACGGCAUUCCCGUAUGGAGACGGAAUGAUUCCACGAUGGAGUAUUGUUGUGGUGUUAGUGGACUCGUGUGCGAGAAAUCAAGUUGUAAAAAUUAUUUAAAAAUGCAAGUUGUCUAGCCACGAGUCAAAUGCUGGCUUUCCGCAUGAAACCCCACAAUUCCUUAUUGAUACAUUGCAUGAGUAGAUAGUUAUCCUAAAGUCUUGUUGAGUACCUCCGUACUCAUGUUUGCUUAAUAUUUGUUGCAGAGGUUGUUAAUGACCCUAAUGGAGGGUUCUUCCUCGACAUCGACGACGACGAGUAGCUGGUAUCCCAGCUACGAUCUGGCCCUAUGGUUGGUCUGUAGUAUAGUCAGGCCACGUGCCUUCUAGUCUCAUGUGUCUGUACUCAGACAGUUUAUUUACUUCCGCUGGCUUGUAACUUGAAUGACUGUUAUGAUGGGUCGUGAGACCGCUACUGUGUAAUAUUAUGUGUGUGGCUCUUCCGAGCCUUUUAAAUAAAGCUUGUAUGUUUAUGGUUAUGUUGUGAUGCCAUCGAUGUAUCUAUACAUAUCGGUAUGCCAUGCGUACGUGUGUCGUACUUUAUAUGUAUGGGGUUCGAUUACCUAGCCGUAGACUUUAGUAGCAUUCCUUACAGGGAAAUGCCCCUUUCUGGUCCAACGAGCCAUGGUAGCUCGCUACUGCUCCGGACACUUUGGUUGAACAGCGUGUGCCCUUCUUAGCUGUUGUGUCUGUCCCCUUUGGGGAAAUGUCACGCGAUGUAAUGGAGUCCUUGUAGCUUGCUACGACUCGUCUACAUUCGCUGGUGACUGACACCUGCCUUGCUGGGUCAUGUAUGUCUGUGCCUGUGCGGAACUGCCACUUUGGUUUAUGACUAGACAUAUCGAUCCGAGUUCUUUGUCAUUGGAUUGCUAGCGACACAAUUGCAUACGCGAGUCAAAAGGCGCAAACGGUCCCGGCUAAGGUAAGGCUGCAGCCGUGGGGUUAACCGUGCGUGAGACCGCAAAGAGAUGCGAUGUGUUACAGGUUGGAUUCCUAUGGCUUAGGAUCGGGGUCCCGACACCGCGUUCAUAGUAACGCUUCCACUUAGCGAUCUUAAAAUGUAUGAAGAUGUUCUACUCCUUUGCUCGUUGCUGGUUUCUCCAUAGAUAGAUCCUUGCAUGGCGUAGGAGUUUUUUUGAAAUUACUACGUUCCCCAACAGUGGCAUCCGAGCCAAGGUUCUACGCGUAGAUUCUAUGCACGAGUAGAACACAAAAGUUGUGGGCGCUGAUUUUGUCAAUUGCUUGUCGUUACUAGUCUUAUCUUGAUUCGGCGACAUCGUGGGAUUAAGCGGCCCGGACCAACUUUACAAAUACUUUUACGUGAUACUGGUUCCACCAACUGGCAUGCACUAGUUGCAUAAGGUGGCUAGCGGGUGUAUGUCUCUCCCACUUUAGUCGAAUCGGAUUCGAUGAAGAGGGUCCUUAUGAAGGGUAAAUAGCAUUGGCAUAUCAACAUUGUGGCUGUCACAUAGGUAAGAAGCAUUCUUGCUAGAAACCCUAACCAACCACGUAAAACUGGCAACAACAAUUAGAGGACGUCUAACUUGUUUUUGCAGGGUAUGCUAUGUGAUGUGAUAUGGCCAAAAGGAUGUGAUGUUACAUAUGUGAUGUAUGCGAUUGAUCAUGCUCUUGUAACUCACGACUUGCAUGUCGAUGAGUAUGACAACCGGCAGGAGCCAUAGGAGUUGUCUUGAUUUAUUGUAUGAGAUGCAACGACAUGUUGAUUACUUUACUUUAUCUCUAACGGUUAGUUAUAGUAGUAGAAGUAAUAGUUGGCCCGACGACUUCACGGAGACACAAUUAUGGAGAUCAUGAUGAUUGAGAUCAUGGUGUCAUGCUGGUGACGAUGAUGAUCAUGGUGCCCCGAAGAUGGUGAUCAAAGGAGCAAGAUGAUAUUGUCCAUAUCAUGUCACUAUAUGAUUGCAUGUGAUGUUUAUCAUGUUUUUCAUCUUAUUGCUUAGAACGACGGUAGCAAAGAUAAGAUGAUCCCUCAUUAAAAUUUCGAGAUAUGUAUUCCCCUAAGUGUGCACUGUUGCGAAGGAUCGUUGUCUCGAAGCACCACGUGAUGAUCGGGUGUGAUAGAUUCUAACGUUCGCAUACAAUGGGUGUAAGCCAGUUUACACACGCAAAACACUUAGGUUGACUCAACGAGCCUAACAUGUACAGAUAUGGCCUCGAAUACGGGAGACCAAAAGGUCAGACAUGAGUCGUAUGGUUGAUACGAUCAGCAUGGAGAUGCUCACCAUUGAUGACUAGUAUGUCUCACGUGAUGAUCAAUAAUGGGCUAGUCGACGUCGAUCAUGUAACACUUGGAUGACUAGAGGGAUGUCGAUCUAAGUGGGAGUUCAUUAGUAAUUUGAUUAGAUGAACUUAAUUAUCAUGAACUUAGUCUAAAAGUGUCUUUACAAAUAUUGUAGAUCCAAUGGCCAACGCAAAUGUCCCAUUCAACUUCAACCGUUCCUAGAGAAAACCAAGCUGAAGACGACGGGAGCAACUAUGCGGACUGGGCUCGUAACUUAAAGCUCAUCCUCAUGGCUUCCAAGGAGGCAUAUGUCCUUAUUGCACCGCUAGGUGAUCCUCCCGUUCCCGCGGUGACCCAGGACGUUAGGAACGCCUGGCAGUCGCGGAGUGAUGAUUACUCUCUAGUACAGUGCGACAUGCUUUACAGUUUAGAACCGGGGCUCCAAAGGCGUUUUGAGCAACACGGAGCAUAUGAGAUGUUCGAGGAGCUGAAACUUGUUUUUCAAGCUCAUGCCCAGGUCAAGAGAUAUGAAGUCUCUAACAAGUUCUUUAGCUGUAAGAUGGAGGAGAAUAGUUCUGUCAGUGAACACAUACUCAGAAUGUCUGGGUUGCACAACCGCUUGACUCAGCUGGGAGUUGAAUUUCCGGAUGAUGCGGUCAUUGACAGAAUCCUCGAGUCACUUCCACCUAGCUAUAAAGGCUUAGUGAUGAAUUACAACAUGCAAGGGAUGGAAAAGACUAUUCCUGAGUUGUAUUCAACGCUGAAAUCUGCGGAGGUAGAAAUCAAGAAAGAGCAUCAAGUGUUGAUGGUCAAUAAGACCACCAGUUUCAAGAAUGGCAAAGAUAAUAAAAGCUUCAAGAAAUACGACAAAGCAGUUGCCGCGCCCGGUAAGCCAGUUGCCGGGAAGAAGUCAAAGAAAGGACCCAAGCCUGAGACUGAGUGCUAUUACUGCAAGGGAACCGGUCACUGGAAGCGGAAUUGCCCCAAGUACUUAACGGACAAGAAGGUCGGCAACGUCAAAGGUAUAUGUGCUAUACUUCUUUUUGAUGUGUACCUUACCAGUGUGCGUAGUAGCUCCUGGUAUUUGAUAUCGGCACUGUUGCUCACAUUUGGAACUCUAAGCAGGAACUGCGGAACAAGCGUAGGCUGGCUAAGGACAAGGUGACGAUGCGCGUCGGGAAUGGUUCCAAGGUCAAUGUGAUCACCGUCGGCACGCUACCUCUACAUCUACCUUCGGGAUUAGUUAUAAACCCUAAUAAUUGUUAUUUAGUACCGGUUUUAAGCAUGAAAAUUGUAUCGGGAUCUCGCUUGAUGCAAGAUGGCUACUCAUUUAAAUCUGAGAAUAAUGGUUGUUCUAUUUAUAUGAGCGGUAUGUUUUAUGGUCAAGCCCCGCUGGUAAAUGGUUUAUUCAUGAUGAAUCUCGAUCGUGAUGAUACACAUAUUCAUAGUGUGAGUACCAAAAUAUGUAAGGUUGAUAAUGAUAGUCCCACAUACUUGUGGCACUGCCGCCUUGGUCAUAUCGGCGUAAAGUGUACGAAGAAACUCCGUACUGAUGGACUUUUGGAGUCUCUUGAUUUUGAAUCAUUUGACACAUGUGAGACAUGCUUCAUGGGCAAGAUGAUCAAUACACCAUUCUCCGGAAUAAUGGAGCGAGCAACCAACUUAUUGGAAAUAAUACAUACCGACGUAUGCGGUCCAAUGAGCGUUCAAGCUCGCGGAGGCUAUCGUUAUGUUCUCACCCUCACUGAUGAUUUGAGUAGAUAUGGGUAUGUCUACUUAAUGAAGCAGAAGUCUGAAACCUUUGAAAAGUUCAAGGAAUUUCAGAGUGAGGUGGAGAAUCAACGUGACAAGAAAAUAAAGUUUCUACGAUCUGGUCGUGGAAGAGAAUAUUUGAGUCACGAGUUUGGCACGCACCUAAGGAAAUCUGGAAUUGUUUCACAACUCAUGCCGCCUAGCACACCGCAGCGUUACGGUGUGUCUGAACGUCGUAAUCACACUUUAUUGGAUAUGGUGCGAUCUAUGAUGUCUCUUACCGAUUUACCGCUAUCAUUUUGGGGAUAUGCAUUGGUAACCGCCGCAUUCACUUUGAAUAGGGCACCGUCUAAAUCCGUUGAGACGACACCAUAUGAAUUAUGGUUUGGCAAGAAAUCUAAGCUGUCGUUUCUGAAAGUUUGGGGCUGCGAUGCUUAUGUGAAGAAACUUCAACCAGAGAAGUUCGAACUCAAAGUGAAAAAAUGCGUCUUCGUAGGAUACCCUAAGGAAACUAUUGGGUACACCUUCUAUCUUAGAUCCGAAGGCAAAAUCUUUGUAGCCAAGAGCAGAUCCUUUCUAGAGAAAGAGUUUCUCUCGAAAGAAGUAAGUGGACAGAAAACAGAACUUGAUGAGGUAAUUGUACCUCCUCUUGAACCGUAGAGUAGCGCAACGCAAGAAAAUGUUUCUGAGGCGCCUGCACCGGCUAGAGAUGAAGUUAGUGAUGAUGAUCAUGAAACUUCGGAUCAAGUUGCUAUUGAACCUCGAAGGUCGACAAGGGUACGUUCCGCACCAGAGUGGUACGACAACCCUUUCAUGGAAAUCAUGUUGUUAGACAAUAGUGAAUCUUCGAACUAUGAAGAAGCGAUGGCGGGCCGGAUUCUAACAAAUGGCUUGAGGCCAUGAAAUCCGAGAUAGAAUCCAUGUAUGAGAACAAACUAUGGACUUUGGUGGACUUACCCGAUGAUCGGCGAGCCAUAGAAAAUAAAUGGACUUUUAAGAAGAAGAUUGACGCAGAUGGUAAUGUGACCAUCUGUAAGGCUCGACUUGUUGCUAAGGGUUAUCAACAAGUUCAAGGGAUUGACUACGAUGAGACCUUCUCACCCGUAGCGAUGCUGAAGUCGGUCCGAAUUAUGUUAGCAAUUGUUGCAUUCUAUGAUUAUGAAAUCUGACAAAUGGACGUCAAAACAACAUUCCUGAACGACUUUCUUAAGGAAUAAUUGUAUAUGAUACAACCGGAAGGUUUUGUCGAUCCUAGCAAUGCUAACAAGGUAUGCAAGCUCUAGCACUCCAUCUAUGGGCAGAUGCAAGCAUCUCAGAGUUGGAACAUUCGCUUUGAUGAGGUGAUCAAAGCGUUUGGAUUUAUACAUACUUAUGGAGAAGCCUGUAUUUACAAGAAAGUGAGUGGGAGCUCUGUAGCAUUUCUCAUAUUAUAUGUGGAUGACAUAUUGUUGAUCGGGAAUGAUAUAUAACUAUUGGAAAGCAUCAAGGCCUAUUUUAAUAAGAGUUUUUCAAUGAAGGACCUUGGAAAAGCUGCUUACAUAUUAGGCAUCAAGAUCUAUAGAGAUAGAUCGAGACGCCUCAUAGGUCUUUCACAAAGCACAUACCUUGACAAGAUAUUGAAGAAGUUCAAUAUGGAUAAGGAUAAGAAGGGGUUCUUGCCUGUAUUAAAAGGUGUGAGGUUGAGUACAACUCAAUGCCCGACCACGACGGAAGAUAGAGAAAAGAUGAGUAUCGUCCGCUAUGCUUCAGCCAUAAGCUCUAUCAUGUAUGCCAUGCUGUGUACCAGACCUGAUGUGAACCUUGCCUUAAGUUUGGUAGGGAGGUACCAAAGUGAUCCAGCAGUGGAUCACUCGACAACGGUCAAGAAUAUCAUAAAGUACCUGAAAAGGACUAAAUAUAUGUUUCUCAUAUAUGGAGGUGCUGAAGAGCUCGUCGUAAAGGGUUACGUCGAUGCUAGUUUCGACACAGAUCCAGAUGACUCCAAGUCACAAACCAGAUAUGUGUAUAUUUUGAAUAAUGGGGCAGUUAGCUGGUGCAGUUGCAAGCAAAGCGUCGUGGCGGCAUCUACAUGUGAAGUGGAGUACAUAGCUGCUUCAGAAGCAGCACAUGAAGGAGUCUGGAUGAAGGAGUUCAUCACCGAAAUAGGAGUGAUUCCAUGUGCGUCGGGACCGAUGACUCUGUCCUGUGACAACACUAGAGCUAUUGCCAUUGCAAAGGAGCCCAGGCUUCACAAGAAGACCAAGCACGUCAAGCGCCGCUUCAACUCCAUUCGUGGAUACAUGCAGGAUGGAGAUAUAGAUAUUUGUAAAGUACACACGGAUCUGAAUGUCGCAAACCAGUUGAAUAAACCUCUUCCACGAGCGAAACAUGAUGAACACGUGAACUCUAUGGGUGUUUGAUUCAUCACAAUGAAACUAGAUUAUUGACUCUAGUGCAAGUGGGAGACUGUUGGAAAUAUGCCCUAGAGGCAAUAAUAAAGUGGUUAUUAUUGUAUUUCCUAGUUCAUGAUAAUUGUCUAAUAUUCAUGCAAUAAUUGUAUUAACCCGAAACCGUAAUACAUGUGUGAAUAUAUAGAUCAUAGUGUGUCCCUAGUGAGCCUCUAGUUGGCUAGAUCGUUGAUCAAUAGAUGAUCAUGGUUUUUGAUCAUGGACAUUGGAUGUCAUCGAUAACGGGAUCACAUCAUUGGGGAAUGAUGUGAUGGACAAGACCCAAUCCUAAGAAUAGCACUAGAUCGUGUUGUUCGUCUGCUAAAGCUUUUCUAAUGUCAAGUAUGAUUUCCUUAGACCAUGAGAUUGUGCAACUCCCGGAUACCAUAGGAGUGCUUUGGGUGUAUCAAAUGUCACAACGUAACUGGGUGAUUAUAAAGGUGCACUACAGGUAUCUCUGAAAGUGUCUGUUGGGUUGUACGAAUCGAGACUGGGAUUUGUCACUCCGUGUGACGGAGAGGUAUCUCUGGGCCCACUCGGUAAUCCAUCAUCAUAUUGAGCUGAGUGUGACUAAGGAGUUAGCCACGGGAUGAUGUGUUACGAAACGAGUAAAGAGACUUGCUGGCAACGAGAUUGAACAAGGUAUAGGGAUACCGACGAUCGAAUCUCGGGCAAGUAUCAUACCGGUAGACAAUGAGAAUUGCUUGCAUACAUGAUUGAUUGAAUCCCCGACAUUGUGGUUCAUCCGAUGAUAUCAUCAAGGAACAUGUGGGAACCAACAUGGAUAUCCAGACCCCGCUAUUGGUUAUUGACCGGAGAGGUGUCUUGGUCAUGUCUGCAUGCUUCCCGAACCCGUAAGGUCUACACACUUAAGGUUUAAUGACGCUAGGGUUAUAGGGGAAUAGUGUACUUGGUUACCGAAGGUUUUUUGGAGUCUCGGAUGAGAUCCCGGAUGUCACGAGGAGUUCCAGAAUGGUUCGAAGGUAAAGAUUGAUAUAUAGGAAGUGAGGAUUUGGACGCCGGGAGUGUUUCGGGUGUCACCAGUAAUGUACCGGGAGCGCCGGAAGGGUUUCGGGGAUCCACCAGCAAGGGCCACCAGCCCCAAGUUGCUACAUGGCUAAGAGUGGGUGGGAACCAGCCCAUAUGUGGGCUGGUGCACCUCCACAAGAAGUCCAAGGCGCAGCAAGGGUGGAGAGGGGCAAAACCCUAGGCAUGGGGAGGCCACCUUGGGCCUCAAGGGCCACCCUAGGGCGCCACCUCCUUGGCCGCCGCCCCAAACCCAUCUAGGGCUGUCGCACCCUUUAGGGUGGGAAACCCUAAAGGUGGGCACCCUCCUCCCUCUCCUCCUAUAUAUAGUGAGGGUUUUGGGGCUAAUUUGAGAUAACUUCUCUCUCUCUCGGCGCAGCCCUACACCCCCUCCUCCUCGUCCUCCGUAGUGCUUGGCGAAGCCCUGUCGGAGUUACCAGACAGCUCCACCGUCACCACACCGUCGUGUUGCCGGACCUCUCCCUCAACCUCUCCUCCCUCCUUGAUGGAUCAAGGCGUUGGAGAUUUCACCGGGCUGCACGUGUGUUGAACGGGGAGGCACCGACGUUCGGUGCAUAGAUCGAAAUCCACCGCGAUCUGAAUCAUUGCGAGUACGACUCCAUCAACCGCGUUCAUAGUAACGCUUCCGCUUAGAGAUCUUCAAAGGUAUGAAGAUGCUCUACUCCUUUGCUCGUUGCUGGUUUCUCCAUAGAUAUAUCCUUGCAUGGCGUAGGAAUUUUUUGAAAUUAUUACGUUCCCCAACACAUAUGACCACUAUUCGUACACUUCUUGACGUGGCCUCUGCACACCACUAGUUUGUAUCUCAGCUUGAAGUUAAGAAUGCCUUUGUUAAUGGUGAGAUGCGUGAGGAGGUGUACAUGCAUCCACCACCUGGGUAUUAUGUUCCUGAUGGCAUGGUAUGUUGUCUUCCUUGCUUUCUCUUUGGCCUUAAGCAAGCCCCCCGUGUGUGGUUUGAGCGUUUUGCCUCUGUGGUGAUUGCCGCUGGUUUUUCAGCAAGUGCUCAUGACCCCUCGUGGUCGGACUCUUCUUCUUCUCCAUGUUGAUGACAUGAUCAUCACUGGUGAUGAUCCCGAGUAUAUUGCCUUUGUAAAGGCCCGUCUUAGUGAGCAGUUUCUUAUGUACGAUUUUGGACCUCUUCGCUACUUUCUUGGGACUGAAAUCCCUUCUACCUCUGAUGGAUUUUUUAUAUCCCAGGAAAAGUAUAUCCAGGAUCUUCUUGCUUGUGCUGCUCUUACCGACGAGCACAUUAUUGAGACUCCCAUGGAGCUCAAUGUUCACCUCCAUGAUACUGAUGGCGACCCCCUGCCUGACCCGACGCGUUAUCGUCAUCUUGUUGGCAGUCUUGUCUAUCUAGUUGUCACUCGUCUGGAUAUCUCUUACCCGAUUCAUAUUCCGAGUCAGUUUGUCUUCGCUUCCACCUCGGUUCACUAUAGUCACUUCCUUUGUGUUCUCUGAUGUCUUCGGGGCACAAUCCCUCACCGUCUAUUCUUUCCUCGCUCCAGUUCUUUACAGCUUCAGGCCUAUUCGGAUGCUACGUGGGCUAGUGAUCCUUCAGAUCACCGUUCACUUUCUGCUUACUGUGUUUUUCUUGAUGGUUCUCUCAUUGCAUGGAAGACUAAGAAACAGACCGAAGUUUCCCGUUGGAGUGCAUAGGUUGAGUUGCGAGCUAUGGCUCUUUUGACGACAGAGGUGACUUGGUUACGAUGGUUACUUCAGGAUUUUGGUGUUUUUUUCACUACAUCUACUCUGCUCUUAUCUGACAGUAUAGGUGCUAUUAGCAUUGCACGCAAUCCUGUGAAGCAUGAGCUCACCAAGCAUAUUGGUGUUGAUGCUUUCUAUGUGUGCGCUGGUGUGCAGGAUCAGGUUAUUGUUGUUCAGCAUGUGCCUUCCCAAUUACCGUUGGCAGAUUUCUUGACGAAGGCCCAAACUAGAGCGCAACAUGGCUUCUAUCUCUCCAACUCAGUGUUGUUCAUCCACCAUGAGUUUGAGAGGGGGGGUGUUAGAGUAUAUAUAAUAUAGCCAUGUACCCUUUUGUACUUAUCCCAUUGUAUAAGGAGUUUCCUGCAUAUAUUUCACACAUCACACACACACUCACACNNNNNNNNNNNNNNNNNNNNNNNNNNNNNNNNNNUAUAUAUAUAUAUAUUGUAACACCCUGAUUUUUUCAAACCUUUUCUUUUUAAAAUAUUUUUGAAGAUCACUUGCAAUUUGGUGGAUUUGCAAAUUCUCAAAGCAAGUUGGAUUAUGAAAUCUCCGAUUUCUUGUCUCAAACAACCCAAAACCAUUUGCUUCUUACUAAAACCUUUCUGAGAUUUAUUUGCAAUAUUUUAUUUCAUCAAAUAAUUCUCUUUUUCUAUUUUGGGAAUUAUGCAAUCACUAUGGGUUGUGAAGCAACCUAUAGCUUGGAUGAGCUUUAAGACCCAAAACUUUUGCAACAUCUUCUCAAUGCCAUAAAAUUUCAAAAUAUUCAAAAAUAUUUCUUUGUCCAAUGGAUAAUUAUGGCCAGAAUAAUUAUUUAUUAUCUGACCAGAAUUUUCUCUUUGUGAAGCAACCCUAUGAUUCCUAUUUUUAAAAAUUCCAAAUAAUUUCCUGUAGUUACUAGGGAUCAUAUAUGGUUCCAAUAUGUAAAAACAUCCCAUGGUCCAAUACAAAUUUUGAGCAAAAACACUCCGCUAAGUUUCUGCUAAAGCAGGACCUUUGUGAAGGAAGUGCUAGCUAGGAGUGCACAAUGGAGCUACAAAUUUUUGGGCAUGUGUGCACUACCAAAUGACACUUCCCCACCAAAUGACACUGGUAGCAAAGCUUGGAAUUGAGUGCUAGGAGCUCAUUUGUGUUCUGGACCAGAAAGAUGGUUUUCAAAGGAACUAUAUUCAUUUGAUCUUCAAACCUUGCCAAUCUUUGCCAGUUUAGAGUCUUUUCUAUGCAGAUUCUCCUAGACAUCUCAUCUUGCUCUAAUCCCAACCCCGUUGAGCUCUAGAACCACCAAAAGUCUGCUGGCAGAACCUGUUGUUGAUGUUCCUAGUCGCAGCAGAGCUUGUAUGUUAAGGCAAGUGGUGGAUGGUGACUGAUGGAAGGCUGGUCGACGCAAUAGACAAGGUUUCAAGGCUUGCGUGGCAUGAGGGUGGCUGCAACCGUGGUGAUCACGGUGCUGGCAUGCCACAGAGCGCGCUUUGCGCAGCUCUAGUGAUAGCCAAGCCGCCCCGAGCCGUCAGUCGCUGCCCCCCUUGUCCUAAGCGCCGACGAGGUCUGUGGUAGCCGCGUGGCACCUCCCAAACCCUCUGGUUUAGCGGAGAAGGCCGCUGUCGCUCCCGGCCAAGCUCCGCCACGGGCAACACAGUGGGCUUCGACCACUGUGGUCGUCCGAAAGCCAUUAAUGGCUCCGAACCCGUCCUGUCGCUCCCCUGACCUCCUCCAUCACCUCACCCCACACCGCGACAGCCAGCUUGCCGUCCUUGCUCGAGUGGCAAGCCCGAGUCUCGCCACUUCGGGAGACCUCGGCAGCGCUCGUCGCUGGCCUAUAUAAGGCGCUGCCCCGAACCCCUCCUAGCUCUCACCCCUCUCCUCCACGCCUGGAUUAGCCCUAGAGACCCCCAGCAAGAGCGAGGAGCUCAUCUCCCUCAGCUCCGGCGGCAAGCCCCGCCGCCAAAUCCCCUCUGUCGCCAGCCUCCUCCGCCCUUCUCCAGUCUAAUUCAAGGCCAUCAGUGUGUUCCCUUGGUUCCUCUGGUGCUCCUCGAGCUGUCGGUGAGUCGAAUCCCUGCCGGAACCGUCGUCGUCGAUGACCACCGUAGCCUCCACCCAUCGGAGAAGAAGGGGCGCUGUCGUAUGUCCACCUCCAAAGGAGCUACAAGUACAGGGAGGACUGCCGUCAAGCGCCCGAUCCAUUCCAGUCAUCUCCCAGCCUAGCCGCCGUCUCUAUCGCCGGUGAGCGUUGCCAGUGAGCCGCCCUCCUGUGUUCCCCCUCCUCUCUCUCUGUUUUAAAAGGGCAGGCCCCACCUACCAGUGGUUGCGGCCUGCGGCCGAAGCGUUAAGUGGAGGCGCCCCUCCACUUUACACCUUCGAUGUGGCCCCUGCCAGUAAUACUAUUUCUUUUAUUUAUUCCAGAUUUUAACAGAAACUUUGACCAUUUAAAUAUUUUUAUUUACAAGUUCAAAUCACUUGAUUCUUUUUGCAUUGAGUUGGUAUUGAAAUUCUUUACAAUCUGGUAAAUUUUGGUAUUUUUCCCACACUCAUAGAAUUUCUGGUUAAUAAAAAGGUAUUUAAUGCUUUUCCUUUUCUUUUGCUAUUUCAAACACAUUUUUCAGAGGGAAACUUUGAAGACCAGGACUGUUUGAACAACCCCACUGAUCAAGGCAAGCCAUCAUCUCCAUGUGAUGUAGUUUUGCAUAGCAUAGCUCACAUCUUCAUGCAUUAUAUUUUCUUAACUUGCUAAGAAAAUAAUCAUUUAAUAAAACAUCAUAUAGAGAUAUAUGCUUAUGAUUAUGAAUCACUAUGGUACUAUGGCAUGAUGGAUGAUCAUGAGUCACCUGACCGGGCAUAAUCGUACAACCACCUCUUGCCGGUAUGGGAAGGCCGUGACUUGGGCUGUCCGCGUGAUCUCUCACCGAUAUGCCCCAAAGAGGGAGGGUUAUGCACGCGUGCCACCUUGGCCCAGUGGGCGGUGAUAACCUUGUGAGCCCAGUUAAGUUGCAUUGGGCCCGUCUGUCGUGGGUAUAAGUCUGACAGUAGAAGUAUGGGGUACGAAAGUAUAUGGGCAGAGCCUUAGCUACGACGAGGAUGUAUGAGUUCAUGCCCCUCUACGGUGGAGGUAAAAGACCUACAUCUCAGUACUCUUGGGAGCUUUGUGUCGAGUGAAUUGUAGGAUUACAGCAAGUGCCAACCCCGUACCAGUGGUGAAGGGCGGCUUAUAUAGAGUGUGCAGCCCUUCAUAAUGGCCCGAUGGACAGGGGUGGAAUAGUGGCGAGUAAAUGCUUACGUUACAAGUAACGUAAGCUUUAAAUGCUAAUAAUGGUGUAUGAAAACGUAUGACCGUUGCCCUCCUGGGAGGUUAUGAUGUACAGAGUGGAUUGUAGUCGGUACGUUAGAUAUGCUCCGAGUGGAUCGUCGCCGACUGGAUGAUGGGGGUGUCCUUAGUUCAGUCGGAACUGUCUAAGGGCCUUGCCUUCUAUGACGGGUAGUCCUUGGGUAGGACCUAUAGGGAAGACCUAUGACCCUACCCUGGGACUAUAACCCCAUCAUUAGUCCCCGAAUGGAUCGGGGUUGGAACGAUGAAGUGAUGUCUGGAGUUUGAAACCGACUGGUAUUGAGGUGACUUUAGCGUUGUUUGCCUCGAUCCAUUUUAUCUUUUCAGCUAGUGAUCCGAGUGAAUAUGCCAGUGAAACGAACCGUGAGGGACCGAAUGCUUCCGCGGAAUCUUUCGACGUGACCGGUCAUACUAACAGCGCCGGAUUUUCCGGGAUCCUCAAAUUUCGGUUGCCGCGCGCUCAGCGGUGAUGACGACAUUGCCAUCGAGUAUAUUUCGCCUCCUCGAUUACCGCGCCGUUAUCUUCUCCACUAAUCUUGCAGCGGCUGGUUGCGGGAUAAGAUUCUGGGCCCACCUGUAGGUGACUCAGUCGGAGGCCUAUUAAAGCUUCCCCGGCGGACCUUCCUGUUGCGCUGCUCGUCCUCCUCCCGUUAAUCUCGCUCUCUCCGCAACUCCUUGCGCACCUCUAGCCACCUCCUUCCUCUCCUCCUCUGCGGAUCCGUCGCCCUCACCAUGACGAAGGGACAGACCAGCAAGCUCGAGGCGAAGAAGAAGAAGAACGGGGCGGCAUCCACUCAGCGGCGGCAGCGGGCGUUGCCGGCGGGAUGGAUCCAAGGGGACUUCCUCCCCUCCUCGGUGACAGAGAACGACGUGCUGGAGCUGGUGGAGCACGGCAUGGUCGUCAACAAGUCCUGGAGGCUGCCGGAAGGCGAGACAGAGCCGGCGCCGAAGGAGGGGGAGCGCGUUCUACUGCUCAGUCACGUGGCCAGAGGUUUCUCCUUGCCUCCCCAUCAUUUCUUCCGAGGUAUCAUGAAUUACUUCGGGGCGCAGCUCCACCACUUCCCUAUGAACGCGAUAGCUCAUCUUUCCGCAUUCAUCACCCUCUGUGAGUGCUUCAUAGGAUGUCCCCCCCCACUGGGGGCUCUUCAAAUACGUUUUCUCCGCUAGAUCUCAGACUGUUAAAAAGCUUCGCCAGCCUGAUGAUAAGACACACAUCCUCCAGCUCUGCGGGGGUUUGGGAUUUCAGAAUAAAACGAAGAGUAGCUAUCCCUCCCUUCAGUUAUCCGAGUCAGUUAGGACCUGGCAAUCGUCCUGGUUCUAUUUCCAGGACAUUGCCUGCCCGAAUGCUUCGAGUGGGUUGCCACCUUUCAGUUUAGACCGUCCGGGCCCUCCGAGGAAGCUAGCGCUCUCUAAGGGAGAAAGAACCCAGAUCCAACCUUUGGUCGACGCGUUGAUAGCCGUCGUCCGGAGGGGAGUCACCGGCAUGGACUUGCUAGAGACUUUUCUGGGUCGGUGCAUCCAGCCGCUGCAGGCCCGAGACCACGCUAUGUGGCACUACACGGGGCCUUCGGAUACCACUCGGUCUCAUCCUGAAGACGUGAACGAGGAGACUGUGAGUGCGUGGGUCCGCAGCAUCACAGGCACAUGUGAUAACCCCGUGGGAGCUCGACGGGUGAAGGCCUUCCGCGCCGAAAAUCCUCCUCCGAAUGAGGUGAGUACAUGUUGUCGAGUGCUUUUAACCUUCUCAGCUUUAUUGCUUUUCUUGUCUCACUGACUGACGUUGCCGACUGUGUUUUGUGCAGGAGUGGACGAACUGGCACUCUGCAGUCUCGAAUGGGAAUCCAGUCGAGGAAGAGGAAGGCAGCAUGGAGGGCAGCAUGGAUAGCGCCGAGUACAUCUCUGACAGUGGGGAGAUGGAGGAGGAUACAGAAGAGGAGGAGGAGGAGAGUGGAGAGCAUAGCUCGUCACCCUCACCACCAGAACACCGAACCAAGCGCCGUCAUGACCCCGCUGCUCCGCCGGCCCCUCCCGUGGCCCCGAGUGCUCCGUCGGCUCCUCCCGUGGCCCCGAGUGCUCGGAGUGUGAAGAGAACCAGGGGUGCUUCUGCCGAGCCCGUGAACCAGCCGUCCAAGGUGGCUAAAUCUAGCGGGUCUAAACCUCGGAAAGCCUUGCCCCGGAUGAGGAUCGCUGUUCCGGUCGCCUCAGCGUAAGUAUCUUUGCUCUUCCAUCUUCCUUCAGUAUCCGAUUGGACUCUUCUUUUUGGGAAUUCAUGUUUACCCGUCGAGUGGAAUUCACUCAAGAGAGCUGCUACCUCCACCACCUUUGUGCCGCGUCAGGAUGAUGAUCCCAUGGACACUGAUAACGCCGCCACGUCCCAGCAAGGUACGUUGUCAUGACUCCGAAAGCUGUAUUACCGUUUCGCGAGUGCUGUCUUUGAUCUUGACCUUUUUCUGUACUUAUUUUAUUCAGUCGGGCUUCCUUCGGAGGUGAUCCAUCUGGACGACGACGACCAAAGGAGGUCGGAGCCAGCUUUGGCCCUGCCCCUGGGGUUAUCCAACCUGCUGCCAAUCCUGCCAUGAACGAGCCGCCGACUGAGACGGUGGCCCUCACGGCGGAACCGAAUGGAGUAGAGCUCGGGAUGCCCAGGGAGCCUUCUACCACGCCGGGUCCGUCGGCUGUUCAAUAUGAUGCCCGACGCCUCCCGAAAGAUCAGGUAGGAGCCGCCAAGGACGCCAUGGUGCAAGUGGAGCUCAUGGUGGGCGACGCCAAGGGAGCAUAUGACUCCAUCGCGUCCGUGUACAAGAAGAGCUUGGAGCUUCGGGAUGAUAUCCGAGUAAGUGCGCUAGUAAGUGUUUACAUUCCUCUUGGUACCCACUGGGGGUUUCAACGAGGUACUCGGAUACAGUAGGUUGAUUUUCUAGUGGGUUCACUCCGAGUGAACCCAGUGGGUGUAGUCCCCGAGACUUCUAUCGAGUGCUUGCACCGAUAGUUUUCUUUAUAUGUAUUUUCCGUAAUCUCUACAGAUCAGAGCUGAUCUGCCCGAAUGGUACCAGUGGGGGCACGCCGAGUGCACCCACUGGGUGUAGUCCCCGAGAGUAGUGUUACUCGGGUCGAGUAAUAGUAGUCUCAUAGUGUUGUUGGUUUGCUAUGGAGCUCAAUGGGACCGACCUGUUCGAGCUUCAUACCAGUGGGGUCACUCUUAGUGAACCCACUGGGUGUAGUCCCCGAGACCGCUGUGGAUUGCUUGCAUCGGUAGGGCUCUGAAGAAUUUUGAGCUUUCAUUGUUUUGUCAUAUCUGUCGAGACUUUUUCCUUGUUAAAUCUGGCUGAUCCUCCCUUUGUGUCUCUUUGGCAGAAGACUUGUGAAAUGGGAUCGGCUUAUAAUGCUCUGAAGGCUGAGAAGACCCAACUUGUUGCCGACUUGGAGGUAGCUGCGAAUGACCUGGCUGGCACGAAGGUGGCUCUCGCUGAACGAGAAAAAUCUUUGGAGGAAUCUCGGGAGGCUAACAAGGCACUGGUAGCCGAGGUAGAAAAAAUGAAGGAGAUAUCCGAAUGGAUGGGCCAGCUGAAGGAAAUGAACACUCGGUGCAGAGCGCAGGAGAACUACGUCGACGACUGGGUGAAAAAGAUGGUCGCACUACUUGGUGGUAAUUCUUGCCGAGUGCUUUUUGACUUUGGAGUUCACUCCGCGCUUAUUUUCUGCUUGUCUUUUCUUUGCAGAUUUCUGUCGGGAUGUUGAGACCGAAAUAACAGAAAUUGAACGGUCGCUUGUUCCGAAUGUUCCACUCGGCGAUGAAGCUAACCGGGACAUGUUCAGAGUGAAUUCUCGCCUUAACAGGGUGGGUCCUUUCAUUGGUCGCCUGAGAGGAGUUGUCGGCCGAAUCGACAAGGAGUUGUGGCCUGAAGAUGACUCUUGGAACGAGAUAGAGGGGUUGAUGACUCGACUAGAGGACGUUCCAAGCAGAGUGCAGGCAUGGAAGAAGUCUGUCGCUCGGUGUGGUGCGGACGUGGCGCUGUCUCUGGUCCGAGUGCACUGCAAGGAAGCCCGCAAAGACAAGCUGAAGACGUUGCAGGUCGCCAACACCAAGAAGCUUCGAUUUGAAGAUUUCAUGGAGACCUUCCUCAACACAGCCACUCGGAUUGCAGAUGGAAUCAACCUCGACACCUUUGUGGAGCCUGCCAGUCCCGGCGACGCUUGAUAAACUUUAUGCUGAACGCACAUUUACCUCGGUAUGCCGAGUGGAGUCUGUAUUAAACUUUGGCCACUGUUGUUGGCCGGUACAUUCAUGGCUCGGUGUGGAUAAACUUGAUUCACACCGAGCCAACUGAUCGCAGAACCGAUUUGAAUUCGAAUCGGAUCUUUUGCUCUUCUUUCGCUGAGUUUUUUUUUGACACGAUUUUGGCUCGUGGUUUUUGUUUGGGCGUCUCUUGGUGAAGCCAAUGGCAGACAUGCAGAGCAUGUAGUUGUCAGUUGUCUUCACAUCCACAUGAGCCUCAAUGAGGGUGUGCUAAGCCUCCGAGUGUAUCUCGAGUGUCCACUCGGAGGAAGCUUUUUUACUUAGGCGACUCUAAGGCACAACUAAGUCCCCGAGUGUGACUUUUGGUGCACACUCGGAGCAAGAUUUUUACUUAGGCGACUCUGGGUCGCAGCUAAGUCCCCGAGUGUGACUUUUAGUGCACACUCGGAGUGAGUUUGUACUUAGGCGACUCUGGGUCGCAGCUAAGUCACCUAGUGUGACUUUUAGUGCACACUCGGAGCGAGUUUGUACUUAGGCGACUCUGGGCCGCAGCUAAGUCCCCGAGUGUGACUUUACGUGCACACUCGGAGCGAGUUGUUACUUAGGCAACUCUGGGUCGCAGCUAAGUCUCCGAGUGUGACUUUUUGUGCACACUCGAAGCGAGUUUGUACUUAGGCGACUCUGGGCUGCAGCUAAGUCUCCGAGUGUGACUUUCGUGCACACUCGGAGCGAGUUGUUACUUAGGCGACUCUGGAUCGCAGCUAAGUCUCCGAGUGUGACUUUUAGUGCACACUCGGAGUUAGUUUUUUAGACCGGAGUGUGCAAACGCGGAAGAAUUUUGAAUCAGCAAGAAAUUAAUCCGCUUUGUAUUACUUCGAUGAUACUUGUUCUUUACAUUGUCUCUGUCGGCGGCUAUGUGUAGAAGCGCUUCAGUAGAUCUCCAUUCCAUGCUCGCGGCUUGUCCGUUUCCCUGUCGAGGUUGUAGAGUUGAUAUGCUCCGUUGUUCAGCACCUUAGAAAUGAUGAACGGCCCUCCCCAGGCGGGAGCCAACUUGUGUGGUCUUUGUUGGUCCACUCGGAGCACCAGGUCGCCUUCUUGGAACGUGUGGCUCCUGACGUGCCGCGCAUGAAAUCGCCGUAGAUCUUGUUGAUAAAUUGUUGAACGGAUCAGUGCCAUCUCGCGCUCCUCUUCUAAAAGGUCCACUCCAUCUUGCCUGACUUGCUCUGCUUCGGCUUCGGAGAAGAGUUUGACUCGUGGAGAGUUGUGAAGCAAGUCACUCGGAAGGACUGCCUGUGCUCCAUAAACGAGGAAAAACGGGGAUCGCCCUGUCGAUCUAUUCGGAGUUGUGUGGAGGCCCCACAGCACCGAAGGCAGCUCGGUGACCCAUGCGCCGGCGGCAUGUCCAACUUCUCGCAGGAGUCGAGGCUUCAACCCUUGAAAAAUAAGUCCAUUCGCCCGCUCUGCUUGCCCGUUUGUUUGGGGAUGCGCGACGGAUGAAAAAUCCACUCGGAUACCUUGGCCCGUGCAAAAACCUUUGAACCUGUCCAAGUCAAAGUUUGUGGCAUUGUCGGUGAUUAUGCUAUGUGGAACUCCGUAUCUGGCAAUGAUGUCUCUGAUAAAUUUGAUGGUCGUAAGGGCAUCAAGCUUCUUGAUAGGCUUGGCUUCAAUCCACUUGGUAAAUUUGUCGACUGCUACCAGCAGAUGGGUGAAUCCUCCUUCGCCUGUUCUGAAUGGUCCGACUGUAUCUAGUCCCCACACGGCGAAUGGCCAAGCAAGAGGAAUUGUCUUCAGCGCAGAUGUUGGCUUGUGGGACUUGUUUGAAUAGAAGUGACAACCUUCGCAAUGGUCGACUAUAUCUUUUGCCAUUUCAUUCGCCUACAACCAGAAGAAACCAGCUCUGAAUGCUUUGGCGACGAUUGCCCUUGAGGAGGCAUGAUGGCCGCAGGUUCCCGAGUGAAUUUCUUCCAAAAUUAACCGCCCCUCCUCAGGAGAGAUACACCGCUGAAGGACGCCUGAAACACUUUCUCUGUAUAACUGGUCAUCAAUGGCGGUGAAGGACUUCGACCUGCGAACGAUCUGCCUAGCUUGGACCUCGUCUUCCGGUAACUCUUGCCUCAGGAUGUACGCAAUGAAUGGCAUGGUCCAUUCGAGAAUGACAGCUAGAAUCUCCAUAAUCAAGUCAACCACAGCGGGAACCUUGACUACAGUCUGAUCUCUUGAGAUCUUCGGUUGUACAGGUUCCUCUGUAAAAGGAUCUUCUUUUACCGAGGGGAGGUGUAGGUGCUCGAGGCAGACAUCACUCGGGACCGGUCUCCGUGUGGAUCCCAGUUUUGCCAAUUCAUCUGCUGCUUGGUUUUUCAGCCGGGGAACAUGGUGAAGUUCCAGACCUUCGAACUUCUUCUCGAGCUUCCUUAUUGCGUUGCAGUAUGCAGUCAUGGUGGGGUUCCUUACAUCCCACUCCUUCAUUACUUGAUUAACCACAAGAUCUGAGUCGCCAUAGACCAUCGGGCGACGGACGCCGAGUGUGAUGGCCAUGCGCAACCCGUAAAGGAGAGCUUCGUACUCUGCUUCGUUGUUGGAAGAAUCAAAAUGGAUCUGCAACACAUACUUGAGUUUAUCACCUUUCGGGGAUAUGAGCACUACGCCGGCGCCGGAGCCAUUCAACAUCUUGGACCCAUCGAAGAACAUGGUCUAAUGAGCUGAGUAGAUGUGAGUCGGUUGCUGUUGUUCUACCCAUUCCGCUAUCAAAUCAGCAAGAGCUUGAGACUUUAUAGCUUUCUUGGCUUCGAACUUGAUGUCGCAGUAUAGCAUCUCCAUUGCCCACUUUGCCACUCGGCCUGAUGCGACCCGAUUGUGGAGAAUUUCCGACAACGGAGCGUCAGAUAUGAUAGAUACCGAGUGGUCUUGGAAAUAAUGAGCCACCUUCUUUGCAGUCAUGUAGAUCCCAUAAAUAAGCUUCUUAUAAUGGGGAUACCUCUGCUUGGAAGGAGUGAGGACUUCAGAAACAUAAUAUACUGGCCAUUGAACCUUGUACGCUUUGCCUUCUUCUUCGUGUUCGACUGUCAGAACGGUGCUGACAACUUGAUUUGUAGCCGCGAUGUACAGAAGAAGGGGUUCUUUACUGAGCGGGGCAGUAAGAACCGGCUGGGUGGAAAGCAUGGCUUUGAGGUCGUCGAAUGCGAUUUCGGCUUUGUCUGUCCACUCGAAGGUAUCUGACUUCUUCAUGAGUCGGUACACAUGUAACGCCUUCUCGCCGAGUCGAGCGAUAAACCUGCUCAAAGCCGCUAGGAAACCUGUGAGCUUUUGAACAUCAUGUACUCUUACCGGUCGCUCCAUUCGAACAAUGGUCCCGAUAUUUUCGGGGUUGACAUCGACCCCUUGUUCGGAAACGAAGAAACCGAGUAACUUCCCGCUAGGAACGCCGAAUGAACACUUGGCUGGGUUGAGCUUGAUAUCGUACCUACGUAGGUUGGCGAAUGUUUCUGCCAAGUCAGUCAGCAGGUCGGAACCUUUGCGUGACUUGACGAUGAUAUCAUCCAUAUAUGCCUCCACAUUUUGACCGAUCUGGUCUAGGAGGCAUUUUUGGAUCAUGCGCAUAAAAGUUGCUCCUGCAUUCUUCAAACCGAAUGGCAUAGUGAUGUAACAGAAGCACCCGAAUGGGGUGAUGAAGGCUAUUUUUAAUUCAUCUGGACCAUACAGACGGAUCUGAUGAUAGCCCGAAUAGGCAUCAAGGAAGGAUAAGCGCUCGCAACCCGCAUUCGAAUCAACGAUUUGAUCAAUGCGGGGGAGCGGGAAGUGGUCUUUCGGACAGACCUUAUUAAGAUGCUUGAAAUCGAUGCACAUACGGAGAGACUUGUCCUUCUUGGGCACCAUGACAACAUUAGCGAGCCACUCGGAGUGGUGUACCUCACGAAUGAAGUUGGCUGCCAAUAGUUUAGCCACCUCCUCUCCGAUUGCUUUCCUCUUGUGCGCGGCGGACCGACGCAGGCGUUCUCGGACGGGCCGAGCAGCAGGAUCUACAUGCAGUCGGUGCUCAGCCAACUCCCUAGGUACACCUGGCAUGUCAGAGGCUUCCAUGCAAAAAUGUCCCAGUUCUCACGGAGGAAUUGGGUGAGCUCGGCUUCCUAUUUUGGAUCAAGGGUGGUGGAGAUGUUUGUUGGGGCGGCAGUGGCAUCCGUCAGGUGGAUGCUUACUUUCUUCGUGUCUCCCGCCGACUGGAAUGCGGACUCGGAAGCUGGCUUCUUUGAACGCAUCAGGCCAGCGGGGUCGGCGGUCUUCUUGUACUCAUCCAACUCGAGUACAGCCAUCUGAUGAUCUGCAAUUCUCGACCCCUACUGCAGACACUCCUCGGCCCGCUGCUGAUUGCCUAUGACAGUAAUCACACCUUUGGGACCGGGCAUCUUCAGCUUCAAAUAGACGUAACAUGGACGGGCCAUGAAACGCGCAUAUGCCGGACGGCCCAGAAUCGCAUGGUAUGCACUCUGGAAGUCUACCACCUCGAAUGUUAACUUCUCUUUGCGGAAGUUCUUGUCAGAGCCGAAAACGACAUCCAACGCAAUCUGGCGGAGUGAUUUGGCCUUUCUUCCUGGGACUACUCCAUGGAACUGCAUACUUGUAGGGGAACGUCGCAUGGGAAACAAAAAAUUUCCUACGCGCACGAAGACCUAUCAUGGUGAUGUCCAUCUACGAGAGGGGAUGAGUGAUCUACGUACCCUUGUAGAUCGUACAGCAGAAGCGUUAGUGAACGCAGUUGAUGUAGUGGAACGUCCUCACGUCCCUCAAUCCGCCCCGCGAACAAUCCCGCGAUCAGUCCCACGAUCUAGUACCGAACGGACGGCACCUCCGCGUUCAGCACACGUACAGCUCGACGAUGAUCUCGGCCUUCUUGAUCCAGCAAGAGAGACGGAGAGGUAGAAGAGUUCUCCGGCAGCGUGACGGCGCUCCGGAGGUUGGUGAUGACCUUGUCUCAGCAGGGCUCCGCCCGAGCUCCGCAGAAACGCGAUCUAGAGGAAAAACCGUGGAGGUAUGUGGUCGGGCUGCCAUGGAAAAGUCGUCUCAAAUCAGCCCUAAAACCUCCGUAUAUAUAGGUGGGAGGGAGGGGACCUUGCCUUGGGGAUCAAGGAGCCCCAAGGGGGUUGGCCGAGUCCAAGGGGGGAGGACUCCCCCCCCCAAACCGAGUUGGACUUGGUUUGGUGGGAGGGAGUCCCCCUUCCUUCCCACCUCCUCCUUUUUUUUUCUCUCUUGAUUUUCUCUUCUUGGCGCAUAGAGCCCUUUUGGGCUGUCCCACCAGCCCACUAAGGGCUGGUGUGCCAUCCUCAAGGCCUAUGGCCUUCCCCGGGCUGGGUUGCCCCCCCCCCCCAGUGAACUCCCGGAACCCAUUCGUCAUUCCCGGUACAUUCCCGGUAACUCCGAAAACCUUCCGGUAAUCAAAUGAGGUCAUCCUAUAUAUCAAUCUUCGUUUCCGGACUAUUCCGGAAACCCUCGUGACGUCUGUGAUCUCAUCCGGGACUCCGAACAACAUUCGGUAACCAACCAUAUAACUCAAAUACGCAUAAAACAACGUCGAACCUUAAGUGUGCAGACCCUGCGGGUUCGAGAACUAUGUAGACAUGACCCGAGAGACUCCUCGGUCAAUAUCCAAUAGCGGGACCUGGAUGCCCAUAUUGGAUCCUACAUAUUCUACGAAGAUCUUAUCGUUUGAACCUCAGUGCCAAAGAUUCAUAUAAUCCCGUAUGUCAUUCCCUUUGUCCUUCGGUAUGUUACUUGCCCGAGAUUCGAUCGUCAGUAUCCGUAUACCUAUUUCAAUCUCGUUUACCGGCAAGUCUCUUUACUCGUUCCGUAAUACAAGAUCCGCAACUUACACUAAGUUACAUUGCUUGCAAGGCUUGUGUGUGAUGUUGUAUUACCGAGUGGGCCCCGAGAUACCUCUCCGUUCACACGGAGUGACAAAUCCCAGUCUUGAUCCAUACUAACUCAACUAACACCUUCGGAGAUACCUGUAGAGCAUCUUUAUAGUCACCCAGUUACGUUGCGACGUUUGAUACACACAAAGCAUUCCUCCGGUGUCAGUGAGUUAUAUGAUCUCAUGGUCAUAGGAAUAAAUACUUGACACGCAGAAAACAGUAGCAACAAAAUGACACGAUCAACAUGCUACGUCUAUUAGUUUGGGUCUAGUCCAUCACGUGAUUCUCCUAAUGACGUGAUCCAGUUAUCAAGCAACAACACCUUGUUCAUAAUCAGAAGACACUGACUAUCUUUGAUCAACUGGCUAGCCAACUAGAGGCUUGCUAGGGACGGUGUCUUGUCUAUGUAUCCACACAUGUAAAUGAGUCUUCAUUCAAUACAAUUAUAGCAUGGAUAAUAAACGAUUAUCUUGAUACAGGAAUUAUAAUAAUAACUAUAUUUAUUAUUGCCUCUAGGGCAUAAUUCCAACAAUACUGCUCUCGCUAAGUCUGGACAUCGGAAUGCCCAUUCCUUUGAGAGUAACGACGUACAUGAUAUUCAAGCCGCUGCCGCCGUCCAUGAGGACUUUGCGCAGCCUAAUUUCUUCCACCAUCGGGUCGACGACCAGAGCUUGCCUCCCUGGGGUGGGUACGUGUGAUGGGUGGUCCGACUGAUCAAAGGUGAUUGCAGUAUGUGACCACUUGAGGAACGUGGGUGUGGAUGGGGUUGCCAUGUUUACCUCCCUGUUGACCAGCUUCAGUCGACUCUUGCUUUCCACAUCAGCAAAAAUCAUCAACGUUGCAUGGACUUGAGGGAACGAAUCCUCCUUGUCCUCAUCAUCUUGCUCGGCGUCUUUCUCACUCGGAUGUCCUUCACCGAAUCCUUGGAUCAGGAGGCGACACUGUCGAGUGGUAUGCUUCGGCAAUAUGACAUUGCCUUCUUCAUCCGUCUUCGUGUGGAUUGGACAUGGUUGAUCUAGGAUGGAAUUUCCUGACUGUCUCUUCUUGGGGUGUACUGUGAUUUCCCCUUGCCUUUGAACUUAGCAUUUCUAACGGCUGCCGCCUCUACUUGCGGAGUAGAUUGAGCUUUCUGUUUCUGCUUCCGAGUGUUGCUCCCAUCUCCAUCGGCGACUGACUUAUGCUUGCCGCUACGUAUGCGGUCCUCCUCUUCGCCAUUUUCAUAGCACGCGACUAUCUCCAUCAUCUUGCUCAUGGAGAUGUCGCCUGUUCGACCAAACUUCAGGUACAGAUCUCUGUACCGAACGCCUGCCUUGAAGGCGCAGACUGCUUGGUGCUCUGUGACAUUCUCCACCGUGUGGUAGAGGGUCGUCCAGCGCUGGAUGAAAUCGCGCAAGGGCUCGUUUUGCUUCUGGACACAGUGCUGAAGCUCUACGAGACCAUCACGGCAUUUGCACGUUCCCUCGAAGAUCCUGAUGAAGACUCGGGCCAGAUCUGCCCAACUGUAGAUGCUUGACGGAGCUAACUGGUUUAGCCAAGCUCGCAUCGAACCGUCGAGCAUCAGUGGGAGAUGUUUCAUGGCGACAUGGUCAUCUCCGCCACCGAUCUGGACCGCCACUCUGUAGUCGUCCAACCAAGUUUCUGGUUUGGACUCUCCUGUGAAUUUGCUGAUUCCCGUCGCCAAUCGGAAGUUGGGAGGGAUGUCAGCUGAGCGGAUGGCCCGACUGAAGCACUCGGGGCCAGAAACAAUGGUCCUGCUUCCACUCGGACCGUCUCUAUCGUGACCAUCACGGUGGUCUCGACUUCUAUCGACCUUCUUCUGAGUGAUGUACCCUCUUGCAUCAGGCCUUGGAUCAUGCGCGCCACCGCCCGAACGACGAUCAUCGUAAUGCUAGGGUCCGUAAGGCACACUCCGCGGAGGAGUACGCGAAUGGCGAUGAUCUUCAGGGUGGGACCGAAUGGAAAGCGGAUUCCGACUCGGGUCCCUGGAACGGCUGCCCCCUCUGUGUCGCUGGUGAGAGUAGGGACUGAAAACCGACCGAUGCGUGUUCGCUUGAUUGGAACUAUUGUGGAUCAUGUUGUGCGACCGGGAGACCGCCGAGUUUUGCUGCUGCGCCGUAUGUAACAAGGCACGGAUCUGCUCGAUUCCUCUACCAGCCUCCGAAUCAGUCGGCUCGAGAGAAUCAGCUAUCCUGGCGGCUGCAGCCAAGUUGAGGACGGGUGUGCGGAACACCUCGACGUUGCUCUGGUGAGUGCGUCGACUGGAAGAACGAUGGUGCUGACGACGAGUGCCGGAUGAUUCUCCGAACUCACGCUCGUUCCGACCAGUCCCGAGGGGACUUUCAUGGGAAUCGGCCAUACUUCGGCUGCAGGCCCGUGACCUUGAUACUCGGAAGGUAGUUCAGUCGGAACUGACUCCAAGCACUGGGAUGAUGGCGGGACCACAACCGAUUCGAGCACCGCCACUUGGGAGGACAUGUUUUGUCACGCUAUAGCGUGUCGCACCCAACACUGGAGCCGCGGACGACGGGACCGCUUGUUGCAGCGCAUGACGGGGGCAAAGAUCGACACCGGGGUCGAUGGCUGGAGAAGAAGAACGCCGCAGGAACUGGCACAGAAGUGCAUAGCCCCGCGACUCGGAAGCGCCUCGACGUCGAGGGGCGCAUCCCGAAGCCAUGCCGAAUCGUCGGCGAUGAAGGAGAGUGCACCGAAGAGGAUCUCAUGACCCAUGCACAGAUCUCCGCCGGAUGACAUGACGAAAAGAUGAAAUCACAAACUCGCCGGAACUCGCUUAGACGCCUGCCCCACGAUGGGCGCCAACUGUCGUGGGUAUAAGUCUGACAGUAGAAGUAUGGGGUACGAAAGUAUAUGGGCAGAGCCUUAGCGACGACGAGGAUGUAUGAGUUCAGGCCCCUCUACGGUGGAGGUAAAAGCCCUAUGUCUCAGUGCUCUUGGGAGCUUUGUGUCAAGUGAAUUGUGGGAUUACAGCAAGUGCCAACCCCGUACCAGUGGUGAAGGGCGGCUUAUAUAGAGUGCGCUGCCCUUCAUAAUGGCUCGGUGGACAGGGGUGGAAUAGUGGCGAGUAAAUGCUUACGUUACAAGUAACGUAAGCUUUAAAUGCUAAUAAUGGUGUACGAAAACGUCUGACCAUUGCCCUCCUAGGAGGUUACGAUGUACAGAGUGGAUUCCAGUCGGUACGUUAGAUAUGCUCUGAGUGGAUCGUCGCCGACUGGAUGAUGGGGGCGUCCUUAGUUCAGUCGGAACUGUCUAAGGGCCUUGCCUUCUAUGACGGGUAGUCCUUGGGUAGGACCUAUAGGGCAGACCUAUGACCCUACCCUCGGACUAUAACCCCAUCACCGUCCCCCGUUGGGACAAUUUUGUUUGGCCACGGCGGUGGCAGGUGUCAUGAGGACACAGGGCCACCCAGGGCAGGACUCCGGAAGGGAGUGGUUGCCGGAGAUAUGAUGAGAGAGUCACGGGUCAGGCAAGUUGCGUUGGAGCAAUCCUGGUGCACCCGAAUGGGAUCACGAGGCCAGUGCUCCAGAGUGUGGGUAAAGUGUGCAACCUCUGCAGAGUGUCAAAACUAUUCGAAUAGUCGUGUCCACGGUAAUGGACAGCCCUACCGGACCUCAGUAGAUGGUCAACCGUGUGGAUGUUAGUAAUGAUGGAAGGACCCUCCAGUUGAGGGGAGAUGAUGAUAAGCAUUCCGGUGGUUGUGAGACAACCCCGGACAUGAGUAAGUGGAUGUUAUAAAUUUAAGUGGUAUUAUUCCUAAUUUGUUGCCAUGCUAUUGUUUGCUGCAUUGCUUGGUUAUUAUGAGCUUGCGAGUACAUUCCAAGUACUCACCUGGCGUAUCAUGUCAGAUGCAGGAGAAACCGAGGACGGAGGUCCUGAUGAUGCGUACUAGAAAGUGUCCACAGCAGUGUCCCUGUGUAUGGAGUUGCCGCUAUGUUCCGCUACGUAGUAGAAGUACUUAGUAGUUUCGAGGUCCCGCUAUGUCUCAUAAAUAAUAUAGAUAUUGUGCUGCACCAUGGGUGCCUUUGACCUUGCUAUCAUUGUAAGAUAUGUAUUUGUAACCUUAUGCUAUCAAUAAAGUCAGUUCAGUUCUUUGCCAAGUUGUUGAGUGUUUCCAAAAGACAUGAUCUCUGGGUUGGAAUAUAUAUAUCGGCCUAUAGCCUUAUGAGAAUACAAGUUGCAUAUUCCUAACAUUUGGUAAGGGUCAGUUCUUCCCGGUAGGCACGUGAGUCGUGUGGAUGUUUGAUCUUUUUAAAGUGAUAGACUCAAGCUUUGCCGAUUUAAUUAAGAUAGAAACAAAAACUCCCAGUGAAUGUCCUUGGAUUAGUAUGACCGAAAUCAAAUGAUGGCAGUUUUGUGAAAGAAAUUGCCACCCUCCUAUAACUAAAAUUGUCAUGAAAAUUGUUCGUAACUGCCAUCCCAGCGAACGUUGGUCGUUUAUUGGGGUCCUUCUCCAUAUUGGACCUUUUGACAUUACUGCGUCACAUGCUUAGGGCAUGUAUAAUGAUGGCAUAUCUCUACUAUUAAAGCAGGAUCGAACGUCGUGAUGGUUCAACCAGCUGGAUGGUUCGACCUCCCAGCGACACCUCCCUUCGUUCGACCUCCCCCUCCCACGUAAAAAAAAAACUGCCACGUUUCCCACCCCACCUCUCCCCACCCUUGUUCCCGAUCUGGUCUCUCUCAUGCGAAAAAUCAUCCCACAAGAAAAAUCUAUCUCUCUCGACCGGCCCGCUCGCGCCCCCCGCCUCGCCGAGCCCGCGGAGGCCGCUCCGGGACCUAGCGUUGCGCGACCUGGCGGCGGGCCGCGUCGCCGAGGCCGCGCUGAUCCUCGGGGACAUCGGGCGCGCAUCUGCGGUCGUCGUGAUCACGCUCGAUCCCCCUCCUAAUGAUGUGAUGGUUUAACCAGAACCCCGAUCUCAUCUCUCUCCCGAGUAAAAUCGCCGCCGCUUGUGCUCGCCUCAUCCGAUCGGAAGUCUCAUCCCUUCUGCCCGUCGUGAAGAGAGAUAAGAGAGAGGGACGAGCGCAGCCGCGGUGAUGGCCAUUCUCCUCUUCCCCAUCCAUUCUCCUCAUCACCUGAUCCCAUCACAUCGUCAAGGGAGCCUCACGCGAGCUGUCGCAUCUUUCCUGCCUGCAGGCACUAGAGGAUGCGUAGUCCAGCGCCCAUGUCCUCCGCCCUCCUCUUACACGUCGGCCUUGCAUCCCCACCAUCAUGGACAACGACGGCGUGCUCCCCAUGGUGCUCAGGUAGGUGUCGCUUCAUCCUCGGCCACCUCCAAAAACACGAGAAGAUCCCUUCCCACACCAUCAAAGGUAUCCCGCCAUACUUCCACCGAUCUUGGUGCUUACUUGUUCAUUCUCCAAAACAUUGCACCCAAGAGGUGUUUGGUUAAAUGUGCCAAUGGGUUUUGAUUUGUUAAUCGGUGAACUGGUAAUGGUGUGCUUGUAGAUCAUCAUGUAUGAGCCCUCCAAUCUCGUCCUGCACUCCAAUUGGAUAUAUCCAAAUUGUGGGAUUGAUGGUUAGUUUCAUGACAGGUCUACAUUCAGGCUACUGGGGAGCGGAGCACGGAGAUGGUCACGGACAAGGGAGACAUCUACAUAACAUCCAACCGCGACUAAAACAGGAAGGGUGCCGUGCAGGAGCCACUCUCAACAGGCAGGGAAGGAGCUUGCCAAAUAAUGCCUGCUAAACAGAGUUCAUAAUUUUAUUUUGCUUGUGCUGCUAAGGUAUGUAAAAAAAGCUAGCGGAUGUUUGCUUAUAAUGUCUUAUAUUCAGUACUUAUUUAUGUUCAUACCACAUUACUCUUAUGGAUACGAAAGGAGAUUAUGCUCUGACUAAACAUUAUGCUGUAUUUAGGGCGGUGCAAAAUCCAAUAGUGAGUGGAGAGACUGUGAUUACAUAUCUAAUUUUUCUCCUUUUUCAUCUCAAGAAACGGGAUGUUUUAUCAUGUUAGCAGAUGAUCAUCAAGGCAUAACAUGGUUUGCUCCGCCGUAUCUCUCUGUGGUGCAGAACAAUUUCAAGUGGCACUAGCGGUGCGAGUUACUACAACUGCACUUUCAACACGAUGAACCACCCACCAGACGGCCGGUACGUCACUGUGUCUGCCAUGGGAAGUUCUACUCGACAUGGGAGCCCGGGCAGAACAUGAAACUGUAACUCAAAUGAACUAUAUGCAGUCUGUAGGAGAUAGAUUAUUUGUUCAGCAUGUUCAGAGCUGAGUCUGUUUAUCAUCUGAAACUAUGCAAAUUAUCACAAUGUUUGGCAAAAGGGAUGUUGCAGGUUCAUCGACGACAACGAAGGAUUCGUGCUAGGGCAAUACGGCGUCUUGCACCUCUACGUUGCCUGAAGUACCAGGAAUGGCCAUUUCUAUCUAAACCUCUUUUAUAUUAAAUGAUCUGUAUACCGUGUUUCCUUCUCUUGAUAUUCAAAAUUUAGCGUAUUUUUUUCUAUGUUUCUGAUACAUCGAUAAUUUGCAUGUAUAUGCUGAAAAUGAGUUGGUAUGAAGAACAAAAAUCUUGAAUCAAAAUUGAUUAUGCAAAAGGAAACUUUUUUUCUAUAUAACUUGCUUUUCAAACUUCCUUGGAUGGUUUAUUUGAAUCUGUUAAGUCUGCAUGUGGUAAUUCAUUUAUAGAAUUUCUUAGUGUAAGUAAAUUAUCAUUACUCCAACUCUGGCUUUUUCGGAGUUGACUGCUGAAACCCAAGUUCCAACAUCAUUUAUAUACUUUUGAAUGGAAAAAACAAAAAAAUCCAAUCCAUGGUUCUCUGUUUUCUGCAUCUACUAGGAGACUUCAAAGUGUUCGAUUGCCUUGGUCAAUAUAUAUUUUUACAUUCUGUGUUAUUUGCAUGCUUAUUGAUUUGCAAUAUCAAUGAAACUGGGAACAGUGGGUUGCUUAUCAUCCUAUUCAUGACAACACAAUAGCUGACAAUAGCUCAUCGAGGUAGUCAUCCUCCCUGUACAUUCCUGGCUUCACAAGAACCUGGACUGGUUUGAUUUGAUAGUUGUGGUAGUGUUGAAUUUUCAGAUGCAACAUGGGUUUUUAGUAGUACAGAGUGGACAUCAGGAAUAUAAAUAGUUUCAGGAAUUGCAUAUGUUUUUAAGAUGCUUCAAAUAGUCGGCAUCACUGAAUUGUACAUCUAAAAUUCAUUUGCAUAAAUUAACUGAAGUUUGUUACAAAUUUUGUAUCAUAUUCAGGUUAAGUUUAGUUCAUAUAUGCCAUUCAGUGAGCUUUGGUCGACCAUUCUUUUUUCUCCUAUAUUGUUCGUGAUCUCAUUAUGAACAAAAAUCCCAGUUUUUGUUUGGGUCGUCUUAAUCAAAUAGCCAUUGUACUUGAAUGCAAAAUAAGUUCAAAGUAGGCUAUUCAUUGUCAUCUUUCGAUAUUUUUAGUUCUAAUGUCUUUUGUAUUUGUACAGUAUUGGGCGCUUACAUACAAUAUGUUAACUUAUGCAGAGGACAAGUGCCCCAUCACUCGAGGCUAGGUACAGCCUAAUAUUCUUAUGCAACAUUAUCCGGUCUGGACCAUGUCUUACAAGAUUAAACUUGGAAUUUUGCUUCGGUUUCAAAAUUUUCUUUAAUGAAAUUUUCAUGCCAUUGUUUGUUUUGAAAAAGCCAUGAUUUUACGACAAAAUGGAAAGCUCAUGUGUAGUCGUAGUAGUAGUACUUUAGCAUUUAAUGGUGUUCACACGAAUAGAAAUUUGGCUGCCAAGAUCUCAUGUAAGCAAAAAUAAAUAUUGCCUCAUUGUUUGUCGUUUGUCUGGUUGCGGUCAUAGUGUAUUUUAAGGCCAUAUAACUUUGUAUCGUUGGGAAUUACAUAUUCACAUGUAUGUAUAGAGACUAACAUUAAGUUUGUUUCAGCCUUUGGGUCUACUGGAAAGUUCCUGGUACUCGGAAUAUUUUAUCACAACAUGCGGGAAUAAAAAAACCAAAAAAAUUCUAGACAUAUAAAUAGUUUGUUGUAAAUCCAUUAAACAACGCCUGCCGGGAGUAAUAUCAAAGGCUCUUCCCUCCUUCUAUCCAGAAGAUUAGCCUGGAACCCUAGCUAUCUAGCCCGACGCCAUGGCGACCACAUGAGGACCUAAACCCGGCCGUGGAUGGCGUGGAUCAAAUCCACAGGAGGUGGAUCCUCCAAGACCUACCUCCUCCCACAUGCAUUUUUCGGUAUAAAAGGUUGAUCACUGCAGAGGAGUUGUGUUUCUUUGGGUUUUGGUGUCUGAUUUUAUCAUGUCUUUUUGCCAGGCAGUGGAUUUCAUGGUGAGCGAGGCAAGAAGGUAUAAGAUGCGGUUAAUACUGUCACUAUGUAAUAACUGGGAAGAUUAUGGAGGGAAGGCACAAUAUGUAAGAUGGGGCAAGGAGGCUAGCGUGGAUCUUACUUCUGACGAUGACUUCUUCUCUGAUCCAACACUUAAAGGGUACUACAAAGCUUUUGUUGAGGUAAAUUUCUGGUUCCUUACCUCAGAUAGCCAUCGGAAAUGGGUUCUUGAUAUCUAUCAUGCUGCGUGACCAAUGGAAAUCAUAAUAUGCUUAGCUAUAUGAAAUGACACCAGCAAAUUGUUAUUGCUAAUUGAGGUGUACUUAGGUAGACCCAUCCCCCCUCCACAAAAAAAUGGCAACGUAUACCCACCUCGUACUUUACACAGCAGGUCGUCGUACGUACGUAAUACGAGGUGGGUACAAUGUGAGGUACGUACGGCGGUAUGUUAGUGUACAAUACGAGGUGGGUAUACGUUUCCCCUUCUACGUUUUGUGUCUAAGUGUUGCUAAUUUUAGUUUGCCAUCUCUGAAUUCUGUAGUACUGUAUUCCUUCUAUACCAGAGUUCCAAUACUAUGCAUAUGUUUCCUUUGUUUAGGAUGUUUUGUCAAGAAUAAACACAAUCACAAAUGAGGCCUACAAAGACGAUCCUACUAUCCUUGCCUGGGAGCUGAUUAACGAGCCGCGUUGCCCUUCAGAUCCAUCAUGCGAUACGCUGCAGGUCCUUUAUUGUGGUCUUAUUUUUGUGAACUUUUACGUUCCAUGUAUGUUUGUCCACUGUACAUUUUGAAGAAAUUGGGUUCUCGUAGGCAUGGAUAGAAGAGAUGGCAUCUUACGUGAAGUCUAUAGAUACGGUGCACCUGGUGAAGAUUGGUAUUGAAGGGUAUUGUGGUUCGUCUACUCCAGAACUCUUGCUCAUCAACCCAGAUGAUUAUUCAGGGCAUGUUGGAACGGACUUUAUCAGGAACCAUUAAGCACUGGGAAUUGAUUAAGCUUCAGCUCAUAUUUAUUCACACACUUCGUAAGUCCUCAUGUCUGAUCCCACAUAACAUAUACAACUGAGUAGCUAUAGCAGCUGAAUUAAACCAUUCACAGAAAUACGGAAUUUACUAUCAGGGCUGAACUUAGGACUUUUUGCUAGGUUGCCUGACUCAACAGAGGAAAGACACAUUCAGUUUGUGACCACUUGGAUGCAACAACAUAUUGAUGAUGUAGCAAACUUGCUGGCCAUGCCCAUUGUGAUCGGGGAGUUCGGAUUAUCACUGAAGGACGGCAAGUUUGAAAACGAGUUCCGUGAAACUUUCAUGCAGACAGUGUACAACAAUUUAUUGGGUUCUUGGGAGAGUGGAAUGGUUGGAGGAGGCUGCCUUCUAUGGCAACUCUUCCCUGAAGGUGCAGAACACAUGGACGACGGUUAUGCAGUUAUUUUUGCAAAAUCACCAUCCACAUUCAACCUACUUGCAAAUCACUCAAGGAAGCUAGAAUGAUGAGAGCAUGUUGCUUCCCCUUCCCAUGCUACGACUUCGUUCGGUAUACAGGAAUGUUGCAGGAACAUUUAAAGGACCAGUUUCCGUAGGAACUUUUAAAGGACCAAUUCAGUAUACAUGGUUUUUGAAGCCAAGAUCUUACUGUAAAGUUGAAUGCCUUAUGUAUAUCAUGUACCCUAAUAGCUGGUCUCUGGUUCAAAAGAAUGUGAUACCAUGAAAAAAGGUAGAGAUUGAAUUGUGCAAUAAAAAUUUGCCCCUCCAUCCUGCGAAUAAUAUAUUUGUGGCAUUUUGUUUCCAUUUUAUGUACGUAUUUGUUUGUCAUAUAUGCAUAUGCAAACAAAGUCAUGUUGAAUGGUACCCUCCAUCCCCAGAACGUUGGGUAAGUGUAAUAUUGCAUUUGGUAUUGUAGUAGAACGUUAAGGUUUAAUAAAGAGUGUGGAUUCAUGAGCACAUGGGCACAUGGCCAGAUAUGUUUAAUAUGUCACUUGCCCUGUCAUGCUUAUAGUUUUCUAUUUUUGUUUCUCAAUUAUAUUACGGAGGCACAUCUCCAGUGUUUCUAUUGCAGUUGUAGUUCUGCAAAUGCUGUUUCUUUAGAAAAUAGCGAAUGUUGUGCUCAUAGUAGCAAAUGCUUAGCUGGAAUUUUUCAGAUAUACUAUCCUCAAAUUGUGCAGAUGUACAUUAAAGAUUCCCUGAUUUUUUUUUCUGCAAAUGCACAGCUGGAAUUGCGUUUUUGUGGUUUAAAUUCCAUUUGUUAGACAAGCAUGUACUAUUGAUCUUUAGUUUCUAUGUAUCAUCAUCAGAUUUCGGUAAGAGUUCGAGCAUCUUUUGUUUUCAUUUUCCAGAACCAAUAUGUUUUGAUGCAUUUGCUUUGACCAAACAAUGUCAAUGAGUUGAGCUUAAGAAAAUCAAACGAAGCAUUUAUUCGUAGUCCGAAAUCCAAGUAGUUCAAAAACGCGCACCUACAUAUGAGUGUUACCAAUCCAUAAAUCAACAAAUGACAAGUAUAACAAGAGCUAGCUUAUCACGUCAUAGUGAAAAUGUAUGAAUUGAAGUGGAGUGGUGAUACCAAAGCUAGAGCAUGGAGUGGACCAAGAAUAAAGAGGGCAAAGGAAUAGCAAAGUUUGUCUUGUUAGUUCAAAGAAAGAAACAUUGUUAUGUUGUCCCGUGGCAACGCGCGGGCAUUUAACUAGUAGAUAUAGAUGCCCUAUGAUAAAACGUAGCUUUCGGCAUUUAUAUUAAUUUUUUCUCUCCAAUGCAAGCUACCACCAGGAUGCCUCGUUAAAGAAUAAAACAAAUAAAGACUCUUUAUUUUUCACUCUAAUAUUUUCAGCUUUUUACACCGGACGGCAUCUUUUCUCUUCAAGCAUCCGCCUCCUGCAUAGGAUCCCGCUUCCUUAUCCAAACCUACUUUUUCUAUCAUCCGAUCCUACAUGGCAUACGGGCAUCACCUUCAGGCUAUGCAUUGUACAUGCCCUUAGGUUUCCUCUUUCUUGUCACUGGUCACAUUGUGUGCCAUCUUCAUCGGGAUGAGGGUGAACCCACCUGGAGCAAGGCACGCAGGCGGCCAACACGGAAGGAGCCCCCAAGCUCCUACACGCGAGAGAUGCAGUCGCACAAAGUUGGGGUCGAUCGGCCCGAUUUGUGGCUGCCCGCCGGAGCCAGCUCGUGGUUGCUAGCAUCACUGGAGGCCAACGCCGAGAAGCUCUACUACCAUCGGGUGGGAGCAGAGCUUCGCCGAAGAACACAUUUGACAGAUCCCUUCCUUUUCCAACCUAACUACUCUCUUCGUUUUUAAAUAUAAGUUUUUUUAAAAGAUUUCAUUAAAAGGUUACGGGUAAAUAUAUAUAGACAUACUUUAGAGUGUAGAUUCAUUCAUUUAUUUUUGUAUGUAGUCUUUUAAUAAUAUUUUUUAAAGAUUUAUAUUUAGGAAUGAAGAGAGUAUUAGGCUUGCUCCACGAUGAAUAUUCUAGCGCACUUGAUGAGUAGCACAUGGGUAGAGUGAGUUUCCACAGCAACAUGCAAAAGGCAUUUAAAAAUCCGUGCCAAGCAAGCAAGCAAGCAGGCCAGGAUCGAUGCAUGACAUGCGGUCACUCACAUGGCAGCCGCGCACACAAGGACAGAUCGGAAGCUUCUUCUUGCUUUAUCAGACUUGGUACGCGGGCGAAGCCAACUUUAAGCCAAGCUCCCCGUAGUUGGGCUCCAACGACGGGUCCACCACGUUCCCCACACUCGCACGACGCUAGCUUGUUGCUUGACGCGUCGUCGUCCUGACGCACAUGCACAUGUUGACGACCGCGCGCGUCGGUGGCCCCAGCCUCCAUCCAACGCACCGCGCACCUCGCCUCGCCUCCGUCCGCGCCGAGCUCGCUCCCAUAAUGCACGCUCAUGCAUGUGGCCGACCUGAUCCGCGGACCCACGGAUUUAGGGGCCGCCACAUGGUCAUCGCUUUCGAGCCAUACCGGAGGUUAGCAGCCAGCUCAGGAGGUACCCAUGCUACCUGUCUCCCUGAUGCAGCAGUACUGCAGUUACGGCCUUCCCCUGCUUCUAAACCUACUGCUCCCAUUCUAACGAAUCCCAACUAAUAUUCCUCCAUUCUACUUUGUGGAUCGUGACAGCAUCAUAAGAAGGCUGGCGGGGAGGAGGGUCAGCACGGCCUUUUCUCUCGGGUUCUCACAGAGGACAGAGCUACGCUACACACCUUUUCUCUCGUAGGCUGUCUCGCAAGUUACGUUAGCCAACGCCCGAAACGCUCGCCGUGGAUAGGAUGCGGCGGCCGGCCAUGGGAAGGGCAAUGGCGCCGGUCCUCGUGCUGGCGGUCCUGGCCGUCGCGGCGGCCACGGCGCCCGGGGCUGUUGACGGGGAUGUCAAGUGCGCUGAGUGCGGCACGGGCACGGUGCCGGUGCUCCCGCCUCCGCCGCCGUACUACUACUACAGCCCUCCACCUCCGGCGUCCUACCCCGGUGUGUCCAACUGCCCGCCGCCGCCAGGAGGGUACAUCCAGAUCGGAGGCUCGGCGCCUGGCAAGGGGCGUAUGUACCCGCAGGACCCCGGGUUCAUGCCAUCCAGCGCGCCGCGCACCGUCCACUUCACGGUAUGCUCGUUUGCGGCGUUGGCGGUUCUACGGAUCUUUUGGUGAUCGAUCUGCAGCAAUUGCGCUUGCGCUUGCGCGGCCAUCAUCUCCGUUACGUCUCGCGACGGGAGGACAGAGGCAUGCCGGCGUUCCAUGGAUUUCCUGUGUAUGCAUUCACCUUGUAAUAGUUCUUACUGGUCAUAUGUUUUGUAGUUCUUGCAAUGCAUCAAGCUC